CAAUGACACGCAGGUCAUACAAAAAUAAUGACAACUCCUAUGGCUCCUGCCGGUUGUCAUACUCAUCGACAUGCAAGUCGUGAAUCCUAUUACAAAGAACAUGAUCUCAUACAUCACAAUUCAUCAUUCAUCACAACUUCUGGCCAUAUCACAUCACAUGAUCAAUCGCUGCAAAAACAAGUUAGACGUCCUCUAAUUGUUGUUGCAUCUUUUACGUGGCUGCAAUUGGGUUCUAGCAAGAACGUUUUCUUACCUACGAAUCACCACAACGUGAUUUUGUCAACUUCUAUUUACCCUUCAUAAGGGCCUUGUUCAUCGAUUCCGCUCCAACUAAGGUGGGAGAGACAGACACCCGCCAGCCACCUUAUGCAACUUGUGCAUGUCAGUCGGUGGAACCGGUCUCACGUAAGCGUACGUGUAAGGUUGGUCCGGGCCGCUUCAUCCCACAAUACCGUUGAGCAAGAAAAGACUAGUAGAGGCAAGUAAGAUGACAAAAUCCACGCCCACAACAAAGUUGUGUUCUACUCGUGCAAAGAGAACUACGCAUAGACCUAGCUCAUGAUGCCACUGUUGGGGAACGUUGCAGAAAAUUAAAAUUUUUCCUAUGGUUUCACCAAGAUCCAUCUAUGAGUUCAUCUAAGCAACGAGUCUAGGGAGAGAGUUUGCAUCUACAUACCACUUGUAGAUCGCGUGCGGAAGCUUGCAAGGUGAUGAUGUAGUCGUACUCGACGUGAUUCAAAUCACCGAUGACCUGCGCCGAACGGACGGCACCUCCGCGUUCAACACACGUACGGAAAAAGCCACGUCUCCUCCUUCUUGAUCCAGCAAGGAAGGGAGGAGAGGUUGAGGGAGAUGGCACCAGCAGCAGCACGACGGCGUGGUGUUGGUGGAGCUGCAGUACUCCGGCAGAGCUUCGCUAAGCGCUAUGGAGUUGGAGGAGGUGUUGGGGAGGGAGAAGGAGGCAACCAAAGGCCAGGGCACAAGGUAUGAAGUCCCUCCUCUCCCCCCACUAUAUAUAGGGGUGCCAAGGGGGGGUGGCCGGCCCUAGGAGAUCAAAUCUCCUAGGGGGUGCGGCGGCCAAGGGGGAUUCCCUCCCCCCCAAGGCACCUAGGAGGUGCCUUCCACUAGUAGGACUCCUCCCCCUUGGAAACCCUAGGCGCAUGGGCCUUGUGGGGCUGGUGCCCUUGGCCCAUGUAGGCCAAGGCGCACCCCCUUCAGCCCAUGUGGCCCCUGGGGAUGGGUGGCCCCACCCGGUGGGCCCCCGGGACCCCUCCGGUGGUCCCGGUACAAUACCGAUAACCCCGAAACUUGUCCCGAUGCCCGAAACAGGACUUCCCAUAUAUAAAUCUUUACCUCCGGACCAUUCCGGAACUCCUCGUGACGUCCGGGAUCUCAUCCNNNNNNNNNNGGACUCCGAACAACAUUCGGGUUACUGCAUAUACAUAUCCCUACAACCCUAGCGUGACUGAACCUUAAGUGUGUAGACCCUACGGGUUCGGGAGACAUGUAGACAUGACCGUGACUCUCUUAGUCAAUAACCAUCAGCGGGAUCUGGAUACCCAUGAUGGCUCCCACAUGCUCCUCGAUGUUGUCAUCGGAUGAACCACUAUGUCGAGGAUUCGAUCAAACCCUGUAUACAAUUCCCUUUGCCAAUCGGUACGUUACUUGCCCGAGACUUGAUCGUCGGUAUCCCAAUACCUUGUUCAGUCUCGUUACCGGCAAGUCACUUUACUCGUACCGUAAUGCAUGAUCCCGUGUCCAACACCUUGGUCACUUUGAGCUCAUUAUGAUGAUGCAUUACCGAGUGGGCCCAGAGAUACCUCUCCGUCAUACGGAGUGACAAAUCCCAGUCUCGAUCCGUGUCAACCCAACAGCUACUUUCGGAGAUACCUGUAAUGCACCUUUAUAGUCACCCAGUUACGUUGUGACGUUUGGCACACCCAAGGCAUUCUUACGGUAUCCGGGAGUUACACGAUCUCAUGGUCGAAGGAAGAGAUACUUGACACUUGCAAAGCUCUAGCAAAACGAACUACACGAUCUUUUAUGCUAUGCUUAGGAUUGGGUCUUGUCCAUCACAUCAUUCUCCUAAUGAUGUGAUCCCGUUAUCAAUGACAUCCAAUGUCCAUAGUCAGGAAACCAUGACUAUCUGUUGAUCACAACGGGCUGGUCAACUAGAGGCUUACCAGGGACAUAGUGUGGUCUAAGUAUUCACACGUGUAUUACGAUUUCCGGAUAAUACAGUUAUAGCAUGAAUACAAGACAAUUAUCAUGAACAAUGAAAUAUAAUAAUACUUUUAUUAUUGCCUCUAGGGCAUAUUUCCAACACAGAUGGCUACAGAUGAAAAAGGCUGAAGAGCCUGACUAUCUACAACAUCCGAUCAAGAUCGUAGCUGAGGUACAAGCUACUAGUCGAAGUCCACGUAAACUAGUAAGACCGAAGUCUCCGCUGCAAGAACAUUAAUAAAGCAACAUGAGUACAAAGGUACUCAGCAAGACUUACAUCAAAUCCUAUCAUACAUGCAUUUGUAUCAAGAAGGUAAUGUGGAGUUUAGUUGCAGCAAGCUAGCUUUGAGUCAGUGGCUAUCCUGUACUAUGACUGCUCGUAACUCUUUUGAGGUGGCGCACACGAGUCCACUAAUCACCACAUCAAUACUGUACUAUGGAUUCAUUUCCGUCUCCCUAUGAGAAGGCCAUCCAUAGCACUCACACUUGUCUUGAGCAUUUUAGAGUAUCCAGUUUAAGUUGUCUAUGUACCACGUAAGCAUCCAAGAAGUCCAUAACCGCGAACCCGGCUAUUCGAAUAGAUCAUGUUAACCCUGCAGGGGUGUACUUCUUCACACACACUCUCGCCACUUUCCGCCAUGUACACGUCAUGUAUAUCGGCAACCUUCAAGCGGAAGCCUGGCGAGGGAGUCGGCCACGACCUAACUAACCACACAAGACUCUAGUUCAGGUUUAUCGCCUAUUCGGGUUCCAUCCGCAAGGAGAUCCAGCCGGGGGGUCGCCCACGGACCCAAACGAUGUGUGCAGGGUUCCCAAGCCCACCUCGCCGGAUGGAUAUACACUUGGUACACCGUGCCACUUGUGCCUAGUCUGUCCCAAGCCCACCUGGCCGGGUGCCACUUGGUAGACUACUAACACUACCAACAAACACCGGAAACUAUUUCAACUCCUGGACAGAGACCAAGUCGGUUAAUAAGUCGAGAGGGGUCGAGUUACCGGAACCCAAUGUGUGGUAGUAUCUAGUCAUUGGAUAACAUACACAUAACUCGGUGCUUAAGGACGGUUCCGGUGAGACAACCCACCAUGUACUCCUACAUGCCCUCUCACCACUACCUUUACCAAAUCGUGUUCACACACUUAACUCUCAGCACCAGAACAUAUCAUAACACUCCAAUUCAUUCCCAAUGAAUCAGACCUGACACAACUCUAAGCAAUAGCAGGCAUGGCAUGGUAGGAACACAACAUGGCUCAAUCAACUCCUACACAUGCUAGUGGGUUUCCACUAUUUAUUGUGGCAAUGACAAGUCAUGCAGAGGAAUGGGUUCAACUACCGCAGCAUAAAGUAGCAGUUGAAUCACUGUUGUCCUAAUGCAAUAAAAGAGAGCAGGAGCGAGAGAGUGGGAUUGUAUCGGAAUGAACAAGGGGGGUUUGCUUGCCUGGUAGAUCAACAGGGGGCACUGCUCCACAGACAGGUACUCUCGAACACUCUUCGGAGCAGGACCUAUCGAGAAGAACGGUGCCGACAAUCAAUACACAAGCAUAUGCAACAAUAUGAUGCAUGAUCAUGGCAUGUAGAUGUGAUGUUGUUUGAGCUAAUGCAGCUAGCAUUCAUUUGGAUGAAAUCCAUUUGAACCAAGAAUUCAAAUGCAACUCCAAGUUAAGUCUUUAUAAAUGUCAUUUAUAUGUUAUCACCUAUACAGCAAGUAUAAGUUGGUUUAUCAUGCAUGAAACUGGUAGAGAUGGAUAGAUUGAAUUUUUCUGAUAAUUUUUCAUAUAUAAAUUAUUUCAAUCUGAGCUACGAUUGAAUUUCUAUGAAUUUUAGAAGUUUAUAUCAUUUUCUGGAUUUUCCUCAUUUAUUUUAAUACCAGAAAAUGAUAUAUUGCGUCAGCACUGCGUCAUGCUUGCGUCAGCAAGUCAACAGCGCUGACUGGGUCAAACCUGACGCGUGGGGUCCAUACGUCGGUGUCAUAGUUAAUUAACAGAGGUUAAUUAAUCACCCUAACUAAAAAUUAGUCAGGGCCGGGCCCCACCUGUCAUUGACCCACACGGGUCAAAUCUGGGUCAACUGGGGGGUCAAACCCGGUCAACCCGUUGGCGUUUAGCCGCCGGUGAGGCCGAACGUGGCGGAGGGCUUGGGAUCGUCGCUCCGACGACCAUUUAGGCGGCGGAGACCACCUACGCGAAGCCCAGGCUCGCGCGCAUCCAGUGGGACACGCCGGAGGCCGUGGGAUGGUCGGAGCUCGUCGAAGCAGAGCUCGCGGCGGCGGCCGGAGUUCGGUGGCGUGCGGUUUUGAUAGUACGGGGCACGGCAGGGGCUGUGAGCGGGUGCGUUUGGCUCCUGGGGCUGCAAUGAAUUCAGUGACGUGCUCGGGAGCGAGCUGCGGUGGCUCUGGCCACGGCGGCGACAUGAUCGGCGGCGAGGAGCUACGGCCAUGGCGGGGAACGGAGCUGGAGCGUGCAAAAACAAGGGGGGAAUAGGGGUUCGGUAGAGGAGCUCACGGCGAGGCCUUCGGUGAUCUCAGCGCGCUCGGGGACGGCUUGGAGGCGACGGAAUGUCGGUGGCGAUCUCUGGCGGCCGAUGAUGAAGACGACGGUGGUGACGGCUCCACGGGGCGUCCGGCGAUGUGUGGCUUGACGGAGAGGACAAGGACGACGGCGCAGAGCUGUUGGACUUGUCGGAGAGGCGAGGGGGAGGCGGUGGCUGCGGCUACGGUGAACGGCGGCGAUGACAGCGUUCGGCCAUUCGCGCGAGAGGGCGAGGGAGAGGAGGGGAGGCCACGAGAGAGAGAGAGGUGCAGGGCGGCGCGUGGCGUCGUCCAGGGCAUCCAGGGCGACGGGGGAGUGAGGCAGACAGGCAGGAGGUGGCUGGACGCGUGCGUGCGCGCCGCGGGCACACGCCCCUGUCCUCCUGGCGGGAGGUGGAGGACGACUGGCACUGGCCAGUCGGCUGGGCCGGCCUGUUGGGCCACUGGGCUGCCAGGCUGCAGGUAAGCACAGGUAAGCAUUUUUCCAUUUUUAUUUUCUUUUCUAUUUUGUGACAUUUGUUUCUGAUUUAGUAAUAAUACUAAAUCAUUUUAUUUUCUUCUGACAAUUUUUUUGCAGGGACCUAAGGGGUUAUUCCAAAGCCCCUCAGCAAAAAUCAGAAUUUUUGGACAUAUAUAAAAUAUAUCACAUAUAUAUAUAUCCAAGGCAAAUAAUUAUUGCAUUAAUUCCAAAUGGCCAAAAUAAAUAUUUAUGGGCUCCUAAAAUUAUUGGUUUGAAUUUUACCUCUGACCAAUAUUUUCAGAGAGCAACAUGAACAUUUUCUUGGACCUUUUUGGAGCAAUUUUUAUUUGGGUCAUUUCCAAAAAUUAAUUCUGAGGGUUUCACAAAUCCCCAAUUCAAAUUUAAAUUAAGUUUAAACAUGAUGCACACAUGACUAGCUAGUCUAGGUCAUACCAGAACUAGGGAUGUGACAACUCGCCCCCACUCGAAAGAAUCUCGUCCCGAGAUUCAGGAGUCGGCGGAAAGAAAGUGGGAUACUUGAGUCGAAGACGAACUUCACGCUCCCAAGUAGCUUCUCUCUCGGAAGGAUGAGACCACUAAACCUUGAGAAACUUGAUGUUCUGACGUAGGGUAACACGCUCUGCUUCAUCAAGAAUGCGAACUAGGUACUCUCGGUAUGUGAGGUUAUCUUGGAGAUCAAGCGUUUCGUGGUCCACUCCACGGAUGGGAUCCGAGAAGCAAUGCCUGAGUUGAGAGACGUGGAAGACAUCAUGAACUUGACAAAUAUGUGGGGGUAGUUCCAGCUGGUAGGCAACCUCUCCUCGUUUAGCAAGAAUGCGAAAAGGACCAAUGUAACGAGGAGCCAACUUACCCUUGAUACCGAAGCGAUGGGUACCCUUUAAAGGGGUCACCCGAAGGUAUGCUUUGUCGCCAACCUCAUAAGCCACUUCCUUAUGACGACGGUCAUACUGGCUCUUUUGACGAGAUUGGGCUGUUUUCAAAUUCUCACGAAUGAUGCGAACUUGCUCUUCUGCCUCCUAGAUCAUACCCGGUCCAAAGAAUUGUCUUUCACCGGUUUCUGACCAGUUCAAAGGUGUUCGACAUCUUCAUCCAUAGAGAAUCUCGAAAGGAGCUUUCUUGAGACUGGAUUGAUAGCUAUUGUUAUAAGCAAACUCGGUGAAAGGAAGGCACUUCUCCCAAUCCAUACCGAAUGAGAUAACACAAGCUCUAAGCAUGUCUUCGAGAAUUUGGUUGACCCUUUCCACCUGACCACUUGAUUGAGGGUGGAAAGCGGUACUGAAAGAAAGAUGGGUGCCCAUGGCAGUUUGGAAACUCUCCCAGAAAUGAGAAGUGAAAAGACUACCACGGUCUGAAUUGAUCUCUAGUGGAACACCAUGAAGUGAAACUAUUCGAGAGAGAUAUAAGUCAGCGAGCUGACUAGCAGUGAUACUCUCUCGAACAGGUAGGAAGUGAGCCACUUUGGAAAGACGAUCAAUGACUACGAAGAUAGCAUUAUUCCCUUUCUUGUUCCUGGGAAAGCCGGUGAUGAAGUCCAUACCAACCUUAUCCCAUUUCCAUUCAGGAAAGCUAAAGGCUGAAGGGUGCCAGCAGGCCUCUGAUGUUCUGCCUUAACGCGACGACAAACGUCACAGUUAGCAAUGAACUCAGCGAUUUCUCUCUUCAUCCUAGUCCACCAGAACCUCUGGCGUAGGUCCUGAUACAUCUUAGUACUACCAGGAUGAAUCGUGAGAGGAGAUUCAUGCGCCUCCUUAAGGAUCAGUUGCCGAAGAUGCUCUUUCUUGGGAACCACCAGGCGGUUUCCGAAGAAAACAACACCUCGAUCAUCUAAUGAGAAACUACCAGCAAUACCCUUGGCAAUGUUUCUCUUGAUCCGGGUAAUCCCCGUAUCAUGCUUCUGGGCUUCUAUGAUAUGAUCCACAAGAGUAGGUUUCGCCACCAAGGUAGAAAGGAAUCCAUGAGGAGCAAUGUGAAGAUUAAGCUUACAGAAUUCCUCAUGAAGAAGUGGUUGGCCCUGCUGCAACAUAAGAUUGUUGCAAUAGGACUUACGACUUAGCGCAUCAGCCAUGACAUUUCCCUUGCCUAGGGUGUAGGUAAUCCCUAAGUCGUAAUCUGAGAUCAACUCCAACCAACGUCUUUGCCUAAGGUUCAAAUUUGGUUGGGUGAAGAUAUACUUGAGACUCUGGUGGUCGGUGUAAAUCUCGCAAUGUUUACCAAGAAGGUAAUGUCGCCAUGUCUUAAGUGCAUAGACUAUGGCCGCAAGCUCUAGAUAAUGUGUAGGAUAAUUCUCCUCAUGUGGAUGCAACUAUCGAGAUGCAUAGGCAAUCACAUGGCGAUCUUGCAUAAGAAUGCAACCUAGUCCCUGUCGUGAGGCGUCGCAGUAGAUAACAAAGUCUUUAGUGAAAUCCGGUGACACAAGUAUGGGAGCGGAAGUCAGGCAUCUUUUCAGUUCCUGAAAAUUGUACUCACACUAUGGGGACCACUCAAACUUUUUAUCUUUCUUGAGAAGUUCCGUGAGAGGUUUGACCACUUUGGAGAAGUUCUCAACGAAGCGGCGAUAAUAACUGGCUAGACCGAGGAAACUCCUAACUUGUUUAACUGUUUCAGGUGGAGUCCAAUCAAGAACGGCAUGAACUCUCUCGGGAUUGACAGCAAUGCCCUUACCAGAGAUCACGUGGCCUAGGUAGGUCACUUCUGGCAACCAAACUUCGCACUUGGAGAACUUGGCAUAAAGGCGAUGCUCUCUGAGUUUCUCUAACACAAGUCUAAGAUGUUCGGCAUGUUCUUCCUCGUUCUUCGAGUAAAUAAGGAUAUCAUCGAGGUAAACCACGAUGAACUUAUCAAGUACUCCAUGAAGAUCGAGUUCAUCAAGCGGGAGAAUGUAGCUGGAGCAUUGGUUAGACCAAAGGACAUGACGGUGUACUCGUACUAGCCAUAAUGAGUGACAAAAGCCGUUUUAGGAAUGUCCCCAUUUCUAAUCUUGAUUUGAUGGUAGCCUAACCUCAAAUCCAUCUUGGAAAAGACUGAGGAUCCAGCGAGCUGAUCAUACAGGUCAUUGAUCCUGGGGAGCGGAUACUUGUUCUUUAUCGUGACCAAAUUAAUGGGAUGAUAAUCUACAACCAUCCGGUCCGUACCAUCCUUCUUCUUGACGAAGAGAACGGGGCAAGCCCAAGGAGAAGAACUAGGACGAAUGAAACCCUUUUGCAAGGACUCAUCAAGUUGUUUCUUUAGCUCGGCUAGCUCUAAGGGUGCCAUCUUGUAAGGUCUCCUAGAAAUUGGGGUGGUUCCUGGGAUAAGAUCUAUGACAAACUCUACAUCUCUGUCAGGUGGAACACCUGGUAGUUCUUCUGGAAAGACAUCCGGAAAGUCACGGACUACCGGGAUAUCCUCAAGGUCUGGAAGAGGGCUGGCAUUAAGAGAAUAAAGCUGACGCUUUGCAACUCUGGUGGAGAUAGUGACUAUCUUGCCAGAGGGGUGUGUGAGCUGAACAGACCUGGUGUAACAGUCAAUCUUGGCAUAAUGAGCUUUCAUCCAGUCCAUACCCAAGAUGAUGUUAAUAUCUAAAGACUUAAGGGAUAUCAAGGAAGCUAGGAAUACAAGUUUGUCAACAUGUAUUUCAUUGCCAUAACUUAUCCUAGAAGUUUGCCACUUGGAUCCAGGAGUUUGAAUGAGUAGUGGGGAGGGCAUAUCACAAAAUGACAUGUCAUGCAAGUGGGCAUAACUUUCGGAAAUGAAGGAGUGAGAUGCUCCAGUAUCGAAUAGAACCGAUGUUGGAUGACAGUUGACAAGGAGUGUACCAAGAACGUCAUCUGGAUCAUCAUGAGCGUCUUUAGCUGAGACGUGAUGCACACGUCCAAGUUCAGUGGGAGCUGACUUGGCACUGAUCAUCUUGCGUGAUGGCUUACUACCACGGCCAACAGACUUCUCGGGCUGGGAUGGAGCAACACUGGUCUGAGUGCAAGUACGGGGAAUGUGGCCUGGCUCUCCGCACUUGUAACAAAUCUUGGAGGUAGGACAUGGACCCGCAUUGGCAGGCGGUCCACCAAUAGGCCUGGGUGGAGCAUAUGGCUGAACUGGGUGAGGCGCCACAUAAGAUGGCGUCAGUGUGUAGCCGGGUGAAAGAGCAGAAUUCGGAACCCAAAUCUGACGCUUAUGAGAACUAGAACCGGAGGAAGAAUCCAAAUCACGGUUGUGCUUACGAGACUCCUCGUAAGUGAGCAGAGCUGUCUCUGCGUUAAUGGACUUGUUCACAAGAGCCUGGAAUGUAUUGCAAUGAUGCAAGUGGAGAUCAUGACGCAACUUGGGGUUGACACCCUUCCGGAACCUAGCCUACUUCUUGGCGUCCGUGGACACUUCUUCUGCAGCAUAGCGAGCGAGGUUCUCAAACUCUCUACUGUAAGCAUCAAUAGCCAUCGUACCCUGGCUGAAACUACAGAACUCUUCUCUCUUGCGAUCGAUGAGGGCUUCAGGAAUGUGAUGCUCGCGAAAAGCCUCAGUGAAAUCUUUCCAGGUAGGAAUCUGUCCAGCUCGAAGCAUAGCCUCAUAGUUUUGCCACCAAAGACUAGCAGGACCUUCCAAGUGAUAUGCAGCAUAGGUGACCUUGUCACCUUCAGCUACAUUCGCAGAACGCAGCUUGAGAGUGAUACUACGGAGCCAGUCAUCUGCAUCGAGUGGUUCAAUGGAAUGAUGGAAGGUGGGUGGUUUCAGACCAAUGAAAUCAUGGAUGGUCGUUGACUCUUUGCACUGGGGUGCGGUGUUCUCCUCGAUACGUGCUAACAAGCGGUUAGACUCAUGCUUGUUCCUCUCCAUCUCUAACAUGAACUCUGCCAACGAAGGUUGGUCGGGAGGAUCCUCCUCAUCCCUACCACCUCCGUGGUUCAGGUAAUGAGCAACGGAACUUCGGUUAACUGACAACAUCCUGAGAAGCGGAACCAAGGACGAGGUCAACAACUAUAGGAUGCAACAUGUAGCACAAGGAAAUUUAGUAUCUCUCAAACUCCUAGGACAAUUCCGGCGGCAUAACGGGAGUAAAAUGCUCAAAAAGAGACAUUCUGCAAAAAACAAGGUAGCACCACAACUCAACAUCAUCACUCAAGGUUCUGAGAUAGUACUAAACAUGCUACACCGGAGGUACUCAAACUGGGAUAUGACUCUGAUCAACCAAUCCUAAGAGACUACGGAAUAGUAACACGUGAUCCUGAUAGACGGAAGAGAAAGCCUAGUUCCUUAACCCCGUAGGAAAGAUAGGAUGACUCGGAUCAGAAGGGCAUGAGGUAUAAGGAGUAAAAAGAGCCUUACGUUCCCUUCCACAAUCAAUUCCCUUACAUAACUAAAGAAUUUCUAUACUCAACUUCGACCAGGUUGGUUUGGAAAUCCUACAGACAGUCAGGCUCUGAUACCAAAACUGUCAGGACCCCGAUUCUAAGUCACACCGAUCUAGCAUGUAACACCUCAUGUCACUUUGCGGCUGCACGCACGGUAUUCCCAUGGGUGUCGCCUUACCAUGGCCCAGGACCGUUUGCGCCUUAUGGCUCACGUAUAUGAUAGUGUCGCUAGCAUCCAUAUGACAGAGAACCCGGGCCGACAUGACUAGUCGUGAACCCAAAGUGGCACUGACUUACGGGGACAGGCAUACAUGAAACAACAUCGAGCAUGUUGGUCAGCAGCGUGUGAAUCCGGGUUGUAGCAACUGGGCUAAUAGGACUCCGGAAAUCCGGGCUGUAGCAGGCUAGGCAGGACUCCGGAUGUCACCGCGUGACAUUUCCCCGAAAGGACAGACACAGGAACGAAGUGAAUCAUAUGCCAACCAGUCUAAGUGUUCCAGAGCAGUAGUGCUGGGCUAGCAGGACUCCGGUGAACCGGGCUGUAGCGGACUACCAUGGCUCGGUGGAAGCACUAGACUACAUUUCCCCAUAAGAGAGGCUACCAAGGAUAGACAACUAGGUUGUCGGAUCCCACACAUAGCAAUACACGUUACACGUACGCAUAACAUGCAAGUAUGUGUUGUACAACAUGGCAUCACAACAUAACGCAAACUCAUAUAGAUAAAGGCCCAGAAGGGCCACAUAGCAUUUAAUACAAACAAGGGUCUCAUGACCCAUCAUUCAGAGCAUACAAACAACAAGCGGAAGCAUUACAUGUCUGAGUACAGACGUCUACAAAUGAAAAAGGCUGAAGAGCCUGACUAUCUACAACAUCCGAUCAAGAUCGUAGCUGAGGUACAAGCUACUAGUCGAAGUCCACGUAAACUAGUAAGACCGAAGUCUCUGCUGCAAGAACAUAAAUAAAGCAACAUGAGUACAAAGGUACUCAGCAAGACUUACAUCAAAUCCUAUCAUACAUGCAUUUGUAUCAAGAAGGUAAUGUGGAGUUUAGUUUCAGCAAGCCAGCUUUGACUCAGUGGCUAUCCUGUACUAUGACUGCUCGUAACUCUUUUGAGGUGGCGCACACGAGUCCACUAAUCACCACAUCAAUACUGUACUAUGGAUUCAUUUCCGUCUCCCUAUGAGAAGGCCAUCCAUAGCACUCACACUUGUCUUGAGCAUUUUAGAGUAUCCAGUUUAAGUUGUCUAUGUACCACGUAUGCAUCCAAGAAGUCCAUAACCGCGGACCUGGCUAUUCGAAUAGAUCAUGUUAACCCUGCAGGGGUGUACUUCUUCACACACACUCUCGCCACUCUCCGCCAUGUACACGCCAUGUAUCUCGGCAACCUUCAAGUGGAAGCCUGGCGAGGGAGUCGGCCACGACCUAACUAACCACAAGACUCUAGUCCAGGUUUAUCGCCUAUUCGGGUUCCAUCCGCAAGGAGAUCCGGCCGGGGUGUCGCUCACGGCCCCAAAUGAUGUGUGCAGGGUUCCCAAGCCCACCUCGCCGGAUGGAUCUACGCUUGGUACACCAUGCCACUUGUGCCUAGUCUGUCCCAAGCCCACCUGGCCGGGUGCCACUUGGUAGACUACUAACACUACCUACAAACACCAGAAACUAUUUCAACUCCUGGACAGAGACCAAGUCGGUUAAUAAGUCGAGAGGGGUCGAGUUACCGGAACCCAAUGUGUGGUAGUAUCUAGUCAUUGGACAAUAUACAUAGAACUCAGUGCUUAAGGACGGUUCCAGUGAGACAACCCACCAUGUACUCCUACAUGGCCUCUCACCGCUACCUUUACCAAAUCGUGUUCACACACUUAACUCUCAGCACCAGAACAUAUCGUAACACUCCAAUUCAUUCCCAAUGAAUCAGACCUGACACAACUCUAAGCAAUAGCAGGCAUGGCAUGGUAGGAACACAACAUGGCUCAAUCAACUCCUACACAUGCUAGUGGGUUUCAACUAUUUACUUUGGCAAUGACAGGUCAUGCAGAGGAAUGGGUUCAACUACCGCAGCAUAAAGUAGCAGUUGAAUCAUUGUUGUCCUAAUGCAAUAAAAGAGAGCAGGAGCGAGAGAGUGGGAUUGUAUCGGAAUGAACAAGGUGGGUUUGCUUGCCUGGUAGAUCAACAGGGGGCACUGCUCCACAGACAGGUACUCUCGAACACUCUUCGGAGCAGGACCUAUCGAGAAGAACGGUGCCGGCAAUCAAUACACAAGCAUAUGCAACAAUAUGAUGCAUGAUCAUGGCAUGUAGAUGUGAUGUUGUUUGAGAUAAUGCAGCUAGCAUUCAUUUGGAUGAAGUCCAUUUGAACCAAGAAUUCAAAUGCAACUCCAAGUUAAGUCUUUAUAAAUGUCAUUUAUAUGUUAUCACCUAUACAGCAAGUAUAAGUUGGUUUAUCAUGCAUGAAACUAGUACAGAUGGAUAGAUUGAAUUUUUCUGAUAAUUUUUCAUAUAUAAAUAAUAAAUUAUUUCAAUCUGAGCUAUGGUUGAAUUUCUAUGAAUUUUAGAAGUUUAUAUCAUUUUCUGGAUUUUCCUGAUUUAUUUUAAAACCAGAAAAUGAUAUAUUGCGUCAGCACUGCGUCAUGCUUGCAUCAGCAAGUCAACAGCGCUGACCGGGUCAAACCUGACGCGCAGGGUCCACACGUUGGUGUCAUAGUUAAUUAACAGAGGUUAAUUAAUCACCCUAACUAAAAAUUAGUCAGGGCCGGGCCCCACCUGUCAUUGACCCACACGGGUCAAAUCUGGGUCAACUGGGGGGUCAAACCCGGUCAACCCGCCGGUGUUUAGCCGCCGGCGAUGCCGAACACGCCGGAGGGCUCAGGAUCGUCGCUCCGGUGACCAUUUAGGCGGUGGAGACCACCUACGCGAAGCCCAGGCUCGCGCGCAUCCAGUGGGACACGCCGGAGGCCGUGGGAUGGUCGGAGCUCGCCGGAGCAGAGCUUGCGUCGGUGGCCGAAGUUCGGUGGUGUGCGGUUUUGAUACUACGGGGCACGGCAGGGGCUGCGAGCGGGUGCGUUUGGCUCCUGGGGCUGCAAUGAAUUCAGUGACGCGCUCGGGAGCGAGCUGCGGUGGCUCUGGCCACGGCGGCGAGGAGCUACGGCCAUGGCGGGGAACGGAGCUGGAGCGCGCAAAACGAGGGGGAGAAGAGGGGUUCGGUAGAGGAGCUCACGGCGAGGCCUUCGGUGAUCUUAGCGCGCUCGGGGACGGCUUGGAGGCGACGGAAUGUCGAUGGCGAUCUCCGGCGGCAGAUGAUGAAGACGACGGUGGUGACGGCUCCACGGGGCGUCCGGCGAUGUGUGGCUUGACGAAGAGGACGAGGACGACUGCGCAGAGCUGUUGGACUUGUCGGAGAGGCGAGGGGGAGGCAGUGGCUGCGGCUACGGUGAACGGCGGCGAGGGCAGCACUCGGCNNNNNNNNNNNNNNNNNNNNNNNNNNNNNNNNNNNNNNNNNNNNNNNNNNNNNNNNNNNNNNNNNNNNNNNNNNNNNNNNNNNNNNNNNNNNNNNNNNNNNNNNNNNNNNNNNNNNNNNNNNNNNNNNNNNNNNNNNNNNNNNNNNNNNNNNNNNNNNNNNNNNNNNNNNNNNNNNNNNNNNNNNNNNNNNNNNNNNNNNNNNNNNNNNNNNNNNNNNNNNNNNNNNNNNNNNNNNNNNNNNNNNNNNNNNNNNNNNNNNNNNNNNNNNNNNNNNNNNNNNNNNNNCGCGUGGUGUCGUCCAGGGCAUCCAGGGCGAUGGGGGAGUGAGGCAGACAGGCAGGAGGUGGCCGGACGCGUGCGUGCGCGCCGCGGGCACACGCCCCUGUCCUCCUGGCGGGAGGUGGAGGACGACUAGCACUGGCCAGUCGGCUGGGCCGGCCUGUUGGGCCACUGGGCUGCCAGGCUGCAGGUAAGCACAGGUAAGCGUUUUUCCAUUUUUGUUUUCUUUUCUAUUUUCUGACAUUUGUUUCUGAUUUAGUAAUAAUACUAAAUCAUUUUAUUUUCUUCUGACAAUUUUUUUGCAGGGACCUAAGGGGUUAUUCCAAAGCCCCUCAGCAUAAAUCAGAAUUUUUGGACAUAUAUAAAAUAUAUCACAUAUAUAUAUAUAUAUCCAAGGCAAAUAAUUAUUGCAUUAAUUCCAAAUGGCCAAAAUAAAUAUUUAUGGGCUCCUAAAAUUAUUGGUUUGAAUUUUACCUCUGACCAAUAUUUUCAGAGAGCAACAUGAACAUUUUCUUGGACCUUUUUGGAGCAAUUUUUAUCUGGGUCAUUUCCAGAAAUGAAUUCUGAGGGUUUCACAAAUCCCAAAUUCAAAUUUAAAUGAAGUUUAAACAUGAUGCACACAUUACUAGCUAGUCUAGGUCAUACCAGAACUAGGGAUGUGACAUGUUAUGAAUCUGAAACUGUUGUGGCACAUCUGACUAAACUGAAUGAUAUAGCCACCCUGUUCACUAAAGAUGAGAGAACUCGUUACUUUUAUAUCCUUAAAAUAUUUCUGUUCUCAUUAAAAGGUGAUGCUAAGAUAUGGUUUAAUUCUCUUGAUCCUGGUUGUGUGCGUAGUCCCUAGGAUAUGAUUUAUUAAUUCUUUGCUAAAUAUUUCCCUGCUCAUAAGAAACAAGCUGCUUUAAGGGAUAUAUAUAAUUUUGUGCAAAUUGAAGAAGAGAGUCUCCCACAAGCUUGGGGGAGGCUUCUCCAAUUACUUAAUGCUUUGUCUGAUCAUCCUCUUAAGAAAAAUGAAAUACUUGAUAUCUUUUAUAAUGGACUAACCGAUGCCUCCAGAGAUUACCUGGAUAGUUGUGCUGGUUCUGUUUUCGGGGAAAGAACACCGGAUGAAGCUGAAAUUCUAUUGAAUAAUAUGUUGACAAAUGAAAAUAAUUGGACACCUCCGGAGCCAAUUCCUGAGCCUAUUCCUAAACCAACUCCGAAGAAGAGGGGUAUUCUAUUUCUCAGUCCUAAAGAUAUGCAAGAGGCAAAGAAAUCUAUGAAAGAAAAGGUAUUAAAGCUGAAGAUGUUAAGAAUUUACCUCCUAUUAAAGAAAAUACAUGGUCUUAAUUUACCGCCUGUUGAAGAAACAUAUAAUCCAAAUCCUUCUCCUAUUGAAGAAACUCAUGGUCUUGAUAACCCGACACAGGUAGUAAAGGUAAAUUCUCUCUACAGAUAUGAUAAAGCUGAAAUCCCAUUUACUAAAUUUGCUAGCCCAUGCUUAGGAGUUUGAUAAAUUUAUGGCUAAGCAAGAAGAUUUUAAUGCUUAUUUUGGUAGACAAUUGAAAUACAAUUCAAAUAUGCUUGAACACUUGGGUGAUUAUAUGGCUAAUGUUAAAGGUGAAUUUAAACUUAUUAGUAAACAUGCUUUUAUGGUUACCACUCAAGUAGAACAGGUACUUAAAGCUCAAAAUGAUUUGCUCAAUGAAUUGAAUAUUGAAGAUAAUGAUAAUGUUGUUAGAGUUAUGACUAGAGGUGGUAAAAUGACUCAGGAACCUUUGUAUCUUGAAGGCCAUCCUAAGAGAAUUGAGUAAGAUUCUCAGAGAAAUAAUAUAGAUGCACCUAGUUCGUCUAAAAAGAAGAAAAAGAAAAACAAUAGGACUUUGCAUGCUUCUAGUGAUCCUAUUGUUGAAACACCUGAGAAUCCAAAUGAUAUUUCUAUUUCUGAUGUUGAAACUCAAUCUGGUAAUGAACCUGAAACUAGUGGUAAUGUUAAUAAUAAUGUUCAUAAUGAUGCUCAACCUAGUAAUGAUAAUGAUAUAGAAAAUGAACCUGUUGUUGAUCUUGAUAACCCACAAUCAAAGAAUUAAUGUUAUGAUAAGAAAGACUUUGUUGCUAGGAAACAUGGUAAAGAAAGAGAGCCUUGGGUUCAGAAACCCAUGCCUUUUCCUCCCAAACCAUCCAAGAAAAAGGAUGAUGAGGAUUUUGAGCGCUUUGCUGAAAUGAUUAGACCUAUCUUUUUGCGUAUGCGAUUAACUGAUAUGCUCAAAACCAAUCCUUAUACUAAGUACAUGAAAGAUAUAAUUACAAAUAAAAGAAAGAUACCAGAAGCUGAAAUUUCCACCAUGGUUGCUAAUUAUACUUUUAAGGGUGGAAUACCAAAGAAACUUGGAGAUCCCGGUGUACCAACUAUACCAUGCUCCAUUAAAAGAAACUAUGUUAAAACUGCUUUAUGUGAUCUUGGAGCCGGUGUUAGUGUUAUGCCUCUCUCUUUAUAUUGUAGACUUGAUUUGAAUAAGUUGACACCUACUGAAAUAUCUUUGCAAAUGGCUGAUAAAUCAACUGCUAUACCUGUCGGUAUUUGUGAGGAUGUGCCUGUUGUAGUUGCAAACGUUACUAUUUUAACGGACUUUGUUAUUCUUGAUAUUCCCAAGGACGAUAGUAUGUCUAUUAUUCUUGGAAGACCCUUUUUGAAUACUGCAGGGGCUGUUAUUGAUUGCACUAAAGGCAAUGUCACUUUUCAUGUUAAUGGUAAUGAGCAUACGGUACACUUUCCGAGGAAACAACCUCAAGUUCAUAGUAUCAACUCUAUUGGAAAAAUUUCAUCGAUUAUAUUUGGAGGUUUUGAAUUUCCUCUUUCUACUGUCAAGAAGAAAUAUGAUAUUCUUAUUAUUGGGGAUGUGCAUAUCCCCGUUGAGGUAACAUAGUGUUAUUCGAAAUUUCUCUGGUUUCAUGUUAUUCGGAAUUAGUUCGUUAACAAGACUUGAUCAACCUUGUUAGUGGAUUCCUUUUGAUGAUCAUGAGAUGGAUGAAACUAGAAGGCACAACCUUCUGUACCCCACUUUUACUUUCUAUUACUUAUAUUAAAUAAAAUAAAAAUAAAUAUUUUUUGUUUGUUAUCUGAUUAUCCAUGCAAUAUAAAAAUACCUCGAAAAUAAAAGUUCUCCAAAUGCCCUGAAAUUUAAAUAUGAUUUUUUCCAGAAUAUUUGAGAAUAUUUGGCACUAAGAACAUAGCAGGAGGGUCAACCACCUGCCCACGAGGGUGGAGGGCGCGCCCUACCCCCCUGGGCAUGCCCCCUGCCUCGUGGGCCCAUGGUGGCCAUCCUCCACUUAUUCCUGCACCCAUACACUCCUUCUUCCUCCCACAAACACGAAUAUCCAGCUCAAGCACGAGUUCUAGCUCACUUUGCUGCCAUUUUCGAUCUCCUUGCUCAAAGCACCUCUCACAAAACUGCUUGGGGAAAUUGUUCCUUGGUAUGUGACUCCUCCAUUGGUCCAAUUAGUUUUUGUUCUAGUGCUUUAUUCAUUGCAAAUUUUUGCUGCUUAGGUGACCCUGUUCUUGAGCUUGCAUGUCAAAUUUAUAUGGUUCCAAGUAGUUUUGAUGCAUGAUAUAGGCCCUAGGCACUUGUAGGAAUAGUUGCUAUCAAUAUUAUUGAGUUUGGUUUACCUUUAUUUUGAAGUUACUAAAAAAAUCAAAAAAAUCAAAGGAAGAAAUAUGCUUAGGAAAAUGUUCCAAGGUGGUUCUUCAAGGAAGCAAGGACACAGGCUUGCAAUGCGUGAUGCUGAUGAUGAGCCACCAAGAGAUGCUCCAGUGCAUCCUUGUGAAUGGCCUUAUAAGAAUUUUAUGGAUCGAGCGGGAAUUAAGGAAGAAUUUAACGCAUAUUUGCAUAACGCUGAUCUUGUGAGCUUCGAGGAAGAGAAGUGCAGCCAGUAUCACAACCUCACCGGUACCUUUGUAAGGAGGUUUGAACUUUCAACUUCACGUAAUUCUCCAACUGUCCUGUUUGAUCUUUAUGAAAAUUCCUAUACUAUGGACUUAGAGGAUUUUACCACUGCUUGCAAACUUCCACAAUGGGGUAGUAUGAGGGAUCCUCGCAAAUCUGAAUUUAGAGAUUUUCUUGCUAGUAUAACUAUGGGAGAAUCUAGAGAUAUAACACAAGCCACCAUAGGGAGCAUUCACUUUCCUGCUAUACAUUAUUUUGCUCUCUUCAUAGGUAGAUGCAUUAAUGGUAAAGAUGAGACAUGUCGCAUGUGUGUCCCUGACCUCAGUAUUCUUCGGAGUGCUGUGUUAGGAGACAAAUCUUAUAAUUUGUGAUCCAUUGUUGCACGUAGGUUGCAUCUUAAUAGAUUUAAUGAAGAUUUCUUUGGGGGAAUUUAUGCAACCCGCAUAGCUAACUUUCUUGGUAUAGCCAUACGCGAAGAUGAUAUUGAAUUACCUCCUGCUUACCUAGACUUUAAUGCUAUGGUUCACCACCAGUUCGUCGAGAGGAAUGAAUCACCUCUCCAGUAUCGACUAAUCUUUGACAAACGUCGUGCUGUCCAUAUUACUCUCCUUGCUCCUGCCUUCUUUGAUUAUCAGGCAAGAGGAAGAUAUACCAUUACCAGAGAGGAGGCAGAUGAGUAUGAGAGGAGAGCGGAGGCCGCUCGUCGCCACGCAGCAGCUCAGCAGGCGAUAGCCGCUGCAUCUCAGUACGACCCCAACUACUAUUAUGGAUAUCCACCAGGCCAGCCGUGGCCAUAGACCAACUUAGGCCAAAAGCCUAAGCUUGGGGGAGUACGUAUUUCCCACCAACAUUACAUUUAUGUUCACACACUCAUUGAUAGAUGUCAGUGCUCAUACUUUUUCAUUGUAUCAUCCAUGCUAGUUUAUUUUCCUUUUUAUGCUUUCUUCUUGUGUGUUUAAUAAACCUUAAGAAAAACAAAAAAAUUAGUUGUAGCUUUUAAUCAGUUUAAUUUCCAUGCGUGUAGUAGUAAUUAAAAAGAAAACCCAAAAAGAUUUUCUGUUCUUCUUUUACUUGUUGGGAGCUCUCCCGUGUAAAUAGUUUUAUUUCUUUUCUUUUAUUUGGGGGUCGAUAGGAGAAGACCAUAAUUAAAUUGUUGAAGUGGCUCUUAUAUGCAUUAUUGCUUAUCUGACAAAAGAGCCCAUAUUGUCUUGUCUUCUCCUGUUUAUUGAAUGCCUGCAGAUUCCAGCUUAGUUCAAUGCACGUGCACUAUUAUUAUUAUUCACAUCAUUUGAUCGUGCAAGUGAAAGGCAAUUAUAAUGAUAUAUGAUGGACUGACUGAGAUGAGAAAAGUUGGUAUGAACUCGACCUCUCUUGUUUUUGUAAAUAUGAUUAGUUCAUCGUUCCUGAUUCAGCCUAUUAUGGAUAAACAUGUUCGCAAUGACAACUAGAGAUCAUAGUUUCUUAUGCCAUGCUUGAUUAGCUAUGAGUUAUAAUGCUUUACCUUGCGUGCCAACAUGCUAUUAAAAUGGUUAUGAUGUGGUAUGAUAGGGUGGUAUCCUCCUCUGAAUGAUUUAAGUGACUUGACUUGGCGCAUGUUCACGCAUGUAGUUGAAACAAAAUCAAUAUAGCCUUCACGAUAUUUAUGCUCAUGGUGGAUUAUAUCCUACUCAUGCUUGCAUUCGGUGUUGAUUAAUUUAUAUGCAUGUUCAUGAUCGUUGUCGCUAUCUAGCUGGUCGCUUCCCAGUCUUUUGCUAGCCUUCACCUGUACUAAGCGGGAAUACUGCUUGUGCAUCCAAAUCCCUUAAACCCCAAAGUUAUUCCACAUGAGUCCACUAUACCUACCUAUAUACGGUAUCUACCUGCCGUUCCAAGUAAAUUUGUAUGUGCCAAACUCUAAACCUUCAAAUAAUUAUCCUGUUUUGUAUGCUCGAAUAGAUCAUGUAUCAACUAGGGUUGUCUGUAUCUUCCAUGUUAGGCGGGUUAUUCUCAAGAGGAGUGGACUCCGCUCCUCACUCACGAGAUAAAUGGCUAAUCACUGGGAUGCCAGUCCCAUGCUUUAUGCAAACUAAAUCAAAAUAAUUGCAAACAAAACUCUCCCUGGGACUCUUAUUAGUUGGAGGCACUCGUUGUUUCGAGCAAGCCAUGGAUUGAUGCUUGUUGGUGGAAGGGGGAGUAUAAACUUCACCAUUUUGUUUGGGAACCGCCUAUAAUGUGUGUAGCAUGGAAGAUAUCGCCAUCUCUUGGUUGUUAUGUUGACAAUGAAAGUAUACCGCUCAAAAUAUUAUUCACCUCUGUUUCAAAACCGAGCUCUGACACCUCUACAAAUCCCCGCUUCCCUCUGCGAAGAGCCUAUCUGUUUACUUUUAUGCUGAGUCAUCAUCCUCUUAUUAAAAAGCACCAGUUGGAGAGCACCGCUGUCAUUUGCAUUCAUUACUGUUAGUUUAUAUUGAGUAUGACUUGACUGGAUCUUUUUUACCAUGAAUUACAAUGUCUAGUCAGUCCUUGGUCUUUAAAGGUGAUCUGCAUUUAUGUUUUGCGGUCUCAGAAAGGGCUAGCGAGAUACCAUCUUGUUAUAUCAUAUUAUGAUUGUUUUGAGAAAGUGUUGUCAUCCGAGAUUUAUUAUUAUGGCUCGCUGGUUGAUUAUGCUAUUGAUAUGAGUAAACUUGAGACCUAUGCGUUAUUGUGAAUGUGUUUAGUUAUAAUCUUUGCUAAAAACUUGAAUGCUGGCUUUACAUAUUUACAACAACAAGAGCAAACAGAGUUUGUAAAAGUUUUUCUUUAUCACUUUCAGUUUAUCAACUGAAUUGCUUGAGGACAAGCAAAGGCUUAAGCUUGGGGGAGUUGAUACGUCUCUGUCGUAUCUACUUUUCCAAACACUUUUGCCCUUAUUUUGGACUCUAACUUGCAUGAUUUGAAUGGAACUAACCCGGACUAACGCUGUUUUCAGCAUAAUUACCAUGGUGUUAUUUAUGUGCAGAAACAAACGUUCUCGGAAUGACCUGAAACUUCACAGAGCAACUUUUCAGAAAAUAUGAAAAAUACCUGCAAAAGAUGAAGGCCAGGGGGCCCACCACCUCUCCACGAGGGUGGGAGGCGCGCGCCCCUACCUCCUGGGCCCCAUGUUGCCUCUCCGACUCCAACUCCAACUCCAUAUAUUGUGUUUCGGGGAGAAAAAAAUUAGAGAGAAAAAAUCAUCACGUUUUACGAUACGGAGCCGCCGCCAAGCCCUAAAACCUCUCGGGAGGGCUGAUCUGGAGUCCGUUUGGGGCUCCGGAGAGGGGAAUCCGUCGCCAUCGUCAUCAUCAACCAUCCUCCAUCACCAAUUUCAUGAUGCUCACCGCCGUGCGUGAGUAAUUCCAUCGUAGGCUUGCUGGACGGUGAUGGGUUGGAUGGGAUCUAUCAUGUAAUCGAGUUGGUUUUGUUAGGGUUUGAUCCCUAGUAUCCACUAUGUUUUGAGAUUGAUGUUGCUAUGACUUUGCUAUGCUUAAUGCUUGUCACUAGGGCCCGAGUGCCAUGAUUUCAGAUCUGAACCUAUUAUGUUUUCAUCAAUAUAUGAGUGUUCUUGAUCCUAUCUUGCAAGUCUAUAGUCACCUAUUAUGUGUUAUGAUCCGUUAACUCCGAAGUGACAAUAACCGGGAUACUUACCGGUGAUGACCGUAGUUUGAGGAGUUCAUGUAUUCACUAUGUGUUAAUGCUUUGUUCCGGUUCUCUAUUAAAAGGAGGCCUUAAUAUCCCUUAGUUUCCGUAAGGACCCCGCUGCCACGGGAGGGUAGGACAAAAGAUGUCAUGCAAGUUCUUUUCCAUAAGCACGUAUGACUAUAUUUGGAAUACAUGCCUACAUUAUAUCAAUGAACUGGAGCUAGUUCUGUGUCACCCUAGGUUAUGAUUGUUACAUGAUGAACCGCAUCCGGCAUAAUUCUCCAUCACCGAUCCAUUGCCUACGAGCUUUCCAUAUAUUGUUCUCCACUUAUUUACUUUUCCGUUGCUAUUGCUAUCAUCACUACAAAAUACCAAAAACAUUACUUUUACUAUUGUUACCUUUUGCUACUGUUACCACCACUAUCAUAUUACUUUGCUACUAAACACUUUGCUGCAGAUAUUAAGUUUCAAGGUGUGGUUGAAUUGACAACUUAGCUGCUAAUACUUGAGAAUAUUCUUUGGCUCCCCUUGUGUCGAAUCAAUAAAUUUGGGUUGAAUAUUCUACCCUUGAAAAUUGUUGCGAUCCCCUAUACUUGUGGGUUAUCAGAGCUCUGAACUCCUCCGCUACUUCGUCUGCGCCAACGAGAUCAAGUCCAACACCCCCGCAUCGACGUCGCUGCCGUCUUCCUCAACCAUCAGCCACCGUAACAUUGUCGUUCGAUCCGCGCUGCCCUGAGCUCCCCUGUCUUCCCCUAGGGUGCCGUUGACACUGUCGUGAUCUCCUCUUGCCUUUUCCCAUGUUUCCCCUCUCAUUUGCUCUCGUUAGGUAUUUCGCUGUGGCCGAGAACCGCCGUCCGCCAUGGCCAUUGCAGGGGUAGCCAGCGAGCUUCUCGGAUUGACCUCGUGGCACAUGACCGCUCCUAUGCGUGCCCAUGCCCGAGCCUGCUUCUCUUCUUCCGCGCCCGCGGGGCCACGCUGUCCACUGCCGUCGCGCUCGCCGCAGCCACCGCACCACUGUGACCCGCGCGACGCACACCCUGGCCACGCGCCACACUCUCACUAGCUGCGCUCGCCCCGUCUGCUGCCGCCUAUCCCUUCGCUUGCCCCGCAGUCGCGCCCCUGCCUCACGCCCCCUCCUGUCACGGCCAUCUUCUGCCAACCGCCCCCUCGGCCAUGCCGGCCGCUUGCCUCGCCUGAUGCGUGCUGCUAUGCGCUUCUCUACCGCUGGUACGCUGCUGCGCCAUGUCCUCGACAGCUCCGUGGACAAACAUGCGGAGGGAUUGUCAAUGGAGUACGAGGAGGAGGUGGCGAAGAAGGUGUGGAGAGGCAGGAGGUCUGGGGUGGCGUCAACUGGCUGUGGUGGAGGUGUUUAUGCGAGAAGGAGCCGGAGCAGAAGAAGAGGUCGCAAUUGGAAAUAAUCACAAAAAAAAUCAUAACCUGAAGAUCUCAUUCCAAAAAAAUGCUAAUAUUGAUGGAGGGGUGAUUUCCUUCGAUAGGUGGAAAACAUAGGAAAUAUUGGUUGUUAUCAAGGAAAGGUAAAAAUUUAGGAAAGUUAGGAUUUUGAACUGAUUUCUAUGCAAAUGGGGUUUUAUUGUUUGGUAACGUGAUAUCAGUACCUGCCCGUUUGUGACGUGUCCGAUUAGGAAAGUUUGCAAAUGUUAAGAAACUAUUUAUUGGGAGGAAAGUUUGUGACGUGUUUGUUAUUUGUUUCCUGAAACAAAUUUCACUAAUGAGAGAAAUCAAUUGAUUUAGAUAAGUUAGGAAAGUUAGAUUAAAAUAUAUUAUUUGUUUCCUGAAAAUCGGUUAUAUGUUAGGAAAGUUCUGGUUGUAAUAAAGAGUGGAGAAAAAAAUAAACCGAUAAACCAGGAUGGGAGAAGGUGAUGGAAGGAGAGACGAAAAAAAUGAGCGAAAAUAAACCAGCAAAAAUAAACCAAUGAAAAUAAACCGUGAAGAUUAUUCAUUAACUGCUCCAUUAGAAAUAGAGAUGCAAUUCAUAUGUUUUGAUGGCUUGUCUCACAUAACCAAACCAGCGUGCAUCGCAUGUGUGGGCUGGUCACGCAGCGCAUUUCGACUUCGUGUGCGUGCGUAUCUAUCUAUCUACCGCUGUACCGCUGGUCGGUGUAGCAAAUAAUUGAGGAGGGAGUGAGGGAGGAGCCUCCACCAUCCCACGCGUCGGGCGCUCCGUGGCCAGCGGCCGCAGCUUCCCUUUCGGGCUUGGGACGGAGCUCACUGCACGCUGCCCCCUCCCCAGGCAGCACCCGAGGCCGGCGGCGGCGGCGACGGCGGCGGCGAUCUGUCCACUCCACCCAUGGACACGGACGAGUUCUUCAACCCAGGUGAGUGACCACCACCUCCCCGUCCGUCCUUCCUUCUUUUUCUUUUUCUUUCUUUCGAUUUGCCCCUCCGUCCUCCUUCAUGCCCCCCGACCGGCCGGCCGGCCGGAGAAAAAUGCGGCCUUCUCUUACAUCGAUCCGUGGCCCCAUCCAUGCCCAGGCUGCGCCGGGACGGCCGGCGACGGCUGCGACUGCGGGGACUGCGAGGAGCGGAGGCACGACCACGGCCGCACCAAGCACUUCGUCCUCUUCGCCUCCGACAACAAAGAUUUUCUGGUGAGAACCCCUCCUGCUCCUCCUCCUCUCUCUCUAUGCUCUGAUCCCGUCGAUCGAUUCAGAGUUUCCUCUCUACAUUUCCUCCUUCCAGACACAAGGGUGGGUUCAAUUUGAGGGUUUUUUGGGACUGAAAAAAAUGCCUAAUUUCAUCCUUGGCUUAAAAUGUCGCUGUAAAAUCUGCCUUGGGGGAAUGGAUAGAGCAUGACAUUUUGCCUUGGGUGGGGGGAAAUUUGUUUCACAACAUAUGUAUGUAAUGUACCAGGAGGUGGCAGGAACAAGUCUUUACAGUAUGUGUUUAUUGUUGAGUACUUUUUGCAAGUGAAAAGAAUGAUUCCCUUCCAAUGCUGCUAAUGUUGACAAGAGAUAGCCCCUGCCCUUUCCCUUCCUCCCAUUUGUUAGUUAAUUCAUUCUGUUGCUGCUCCUAGAAAGGGAGGGCUUUUCAGCCAGUAUUAUUUUGGGGUGUUCAGAUUUCAUGAAAAGCAAUGUUUCAUUUUGUUCUUACCUAUGCUGUGUGCCUGAAAUAGAUGGCGUUUAUAUACAUGCUAGAAUUGUUCCAUACCCUCUGCUACUGCAUGCAAUCUGAAUUGUGUCGGCAUUUUCUUCAAAUAGUGCAGUGUGAAACUCAAUGCCCACAAACGCUGAAACCUAAUAUCUCACUCUAACCAAACUGAAUAUUUCUGACAGUGCAUACCGUGGGAGGUCACAAGACAGCUGAGAAAUAUGAUCGCCCACUCUGAGCCUAUCAAACUUGAAACUCCUGAUGGCCAUGUGUACAGUGUUGAAUUCGUCAAGUUCGGCCUGAUAACUCUUACGACUGGGUGGCGGCACUUUGUGGAUGCUAAUCAUAUACGACAAGGUGACCCCAUCACGUUCGUCUACUGUGGGCGCUCCACGUUCAAGGUCCACUUCAAGGGCACUUCAUCCGGUCACAAGAAUUCUCUGCCCUCUUCUCAACAGCCUCCCAACAUCUUUAGAGCCAAACCUCCUCGUGAUCAUCACGUGCUGAAUGGUAAAGUGAAUUAGGACCUUCGAGUCGAGUGCUUUUGGCAAUGCUUUUCUGAUCAUUAUAACAGUGUUCUUUCUUGAUGUGCAGAACAAGUGGUGCCUGAUCCUGCACAUGUUCGGACGUCAACCGACUUUGGCUAUACCAUGUUCCCCGGGACCUGCCUAACCAAAGCACAAGAGAAGAAAGUGCUAGAGCUAGCUGAUAGCAGCAUGAGGUCUGAAAUUCCUCUGCAUGUGGCAGCUAUGAACAAAAGAAAUGCCAAUGAGGACUACUAUGUUGUAAGUUGCAUCCUUCCUCAGAUAAUUUCCUGGUUGUGUAUGACUGUAUGUCACUCCGAUCCAUAGGCUAUUAAUUCCUGCUUGUAUUUUUUUUCGAUGUUCUUGCAGUACAUACCAUUGGGGCUUUUGGACAAUUUCGAAGAGGGGAUAACUGCAACUACCAUUCAGCUCGAAGCCCAUGGCAACGGCAUGGUAUACUUUGUUGCCGCAAGCAAGCAACGUGACGAUCAAAUAAUCCUCGAAUCCGAGUUGAGUCAUUUUGUAGCUUCUCUCCGCAUACAAGACAAUGACCUCCUCGUCUUCAGAAGCAUGAGGAAAGAUCGCCUUGAAGUUUUUGUCCUUGACCCGAUCGGUUGUGAGAAAACUUGUUUUGCCAUGGGAAACUCUUCAAAUGCCCGAGAAGUGCGUGAAGAUCCGGUUGAGAUUGUUGAUCCACCCCAGCAUACUGUUAUUGAUUUGAGUUCUGAUGACGAUGAAGUCGUGGAAAAAGGCACGGCAACAUCAAGGGGGAAGCAGCGGCCACUACGAGGCUAUCGUGCAGAAGCUCAGAAGAUGGCUUCGACAUCCUCCCGUCGUACUAAGUCAGGUGAUAGUAUUGUAGUUAGUUACCCUGUGCAUUUCAUUCCAUUUACCAUAUUUUAGACGAUCGACUUGUGGUUAUGGUAUGCUCACCACAAGAAAGUAUGGCAUGUUUUUCAGGACACAAAGCUGACAAGUCGAAGAAAGCCAGUCUAGAAGCUCCUAUGUCUAACAAGCCUUACAUAUCAACCAGUGGGACGAAGCUAACUAGGCGACAAGAGGAGAAAGUAGAGGAGAAAGUCCAGGCAAUUGGAUCUGAAUUCCCUGUGUUUGUGAAGGUGAUGAAUGAACGUGAUGUUUGGAGCCCAAAACGUCUGGUGAGUUUAGAACUUCAGAUACCACAGGCAAUAUGUAUAGUCCAUUUCUCAUCCAAAAGCUCGCAAGUUUAGAACCAUUUUCUUGUUGAAUUAACCGUCGGCCUGAGAUUCGAUCGCCAUGCAUCUUGACACGCUCUUUACUGAACAGAGCUUCAGCCUGGAAUAUGCUUCGGCGUGUCGUCUCCCGCUUGAACAAACACAUGUCAUACUUGGGCUGGAGGGUAGCAACAUGAAGUGGUCUAGCAGGAUGGUGGCCCAGAAACAUAAGGAUGUGAGGCAUAUUAGCUCAUUUUGGAAGGACCUUGUCUUGCUGGCCGGGAUGAAGGUAGGAGACAUCUGCCUCGUUGAACUGGCAGACAGGAGCAGCGAGAGCCUCACGAUGACGGUCCAUCUGAUCCGCAAGCUCUAGCUCUAGUUUGUGUGUGGUCUGUACUAUGAUGGCUUUUAACUCAGCUGUUGUAUGCAUUGCUUGAUGAUUGUUUUGAACAACCUGGUGUUAGUUUGGGUAAACACUGAACCCUUGACCCUCAUCUCCUGUAGUACUGCUGCUGCUGCUGAUCAGUUUUUCUUGCUGAAGAGAUGUUUCAUUUUAUUGCUGAUUUCUUUAUUGUUUCUUGUUGAGACAAGUCUUAUUUUGUUGCUGAUUGGGGUGUCUCCAGCUGACCAAAAUUUUCUUCGGCAUUGUGUUGGUGUUCCCUACUUGCUUGUGCUGCUGCAUGCACAAAGAAAAAGGCCAUCUCAUCUCAGGUGCAUAUAUUACAUACUCAGAAAGUUUGGUGGUGCAGAAGCUACAUAUACAGUACAGUAGUAUAGGACAAGCAGAUCCAGUGAAAUCAAAAGCUCUUUCCAAAGGCACAAAUCAAAAGCUCUUUCCAAAGGCACAUGCAUACAAUAAGUGCAGAAGGGUGAAACUAGUUUUUAUUUAUUUUAUUUUUUUUUAAAACAUCUUUUGCCAGCCUCUUGUGGCUUCUUAUUAUGCCUCCAAGUCGAAGAUAACCAACCCAACCUAGGGUUCCUGCUCUGUCGGUCAGCGAAGCACCGGUUGUGAAGACAGGGUUCUCAGGAAGGGCGCUUGACGGCGUGGGCUGAGCCAAACAUCCAAGCACGAGGUUGAGCUUUGCAGGGGGCUGGCCUUCGGUUCCUCAAUCUAAUCUCAAGGGGCAGCCAUUUUCGUGGGCUCCCAUGUUGCAUUCUCGGCCGAUUUUACCAAGCUCAAAUUCAGCAAAAUGCUGCCUAGCAAGCGGCACCGAUUUCAUCACGGAUCAUCCAGCAUCUUUUAUCUGUUCACCGUGCCAUCUUCCAUUGCUGUAAUAAUUGUCAUAGUCUGUCUCCAACCUUCUCAAAUUCGGCAAAAAUCUUCCUAGCAAGCAGCACUGAUAUGUUGCCUUAUCUGGGCCAUAACGACUGUGGGGUUGGGCCUCCAUAGGCCUUAUCUGGGAUUUACGUCGCCAUGGGCCUACCUUGUGAGAGAUAACCUCAUCACUUCCCUCGUUAGACCUUAUUUCGACGCAAUUAUUAAGCUCAAAUGAAGUGGGGAGCAGCUAGUUGGCGAGCGCUCCUUCAGGAGCCUCUCAACAAUCAUUUUGGGGUGGGCUGAGAACACGUCACUUGGUGCGCUCUCAGCCGCCGCCACGUGUCACGCGUUGGUGCUUCAUCCGGAUUUAUUUUUAUUUUUCACACGCGUUUUCGGCGUUUUAAACGGGUUUUUUGGGUCUUUUUUGCGUUUUGGUUUUUCACCCGUCUUCCUUAGCUUUUGGACCCAAAAAAAAUACAAAAAACACGGUUUUUUUUAACCACAAGAGGCACGGUUUUGCUUCCAUGAGAGGCACGGUCCUGCCUCUCAGAAAUGGAAUAAAAAACAUAUUUUCUAUUUUUUUCUUCCUAGAGAGGCACGGUUUUGCUUCCGCGAGAAGGAGGAACAGUCGUGCAUCUUGAAAACUGAAAAAAAAACGCGUAUUUUAUUUCUUUUUUCUUCCCCGAGAGGCACGAUCGUGACUCUCGGAAACAAAAAAACAUGUUUUCUGUUUUUUUCUUCCGCAAGAGACACAAUUAUGCUUUCGUGAAAGGCACGGCCAUGCCUUUUUUGGAAAGGAAAAAAAUGUGCUCUCGGUUCGGUUUUUGCGUCCAGUUUUUUUCAUGGAAAAAGUUCACAUAUCUAAAAAAAUGUUGACGGACUCAAAAAAUGUUCAUGAUUUUAAAAUAUAUAUUCAUAUAUCUAAAAAAUGUUCACGAGUUCCAAAAAAUGUUCAUGAACUUUUAUAAAAUGUUCACAAAUUCUAAAAAUAUUCACGAAUUUGUAAAAAAAAAUGUUUACGUAUUUUGAAAAUGUUCGUGAAUUCAAGAAAUGUUCAUAUUUUUUUAAAUGUUCACAAAAGUGAAAAAAACGUGAUUUUCUAAAUACUGUUCCAAAAUUUUAAAAAACAUCAAUUCAAAAAUGUUAUCAAAUUUAAAAAAACUGCUCACAAUUUCAGAAAAAUGUACAUGGAUUUUUUUGAAUAAAUCGUGAAUUUAAAAAAUGUUCAUGAAUUCAAAAAAAUAUUCACAAAUUUAAAACAUGUUCAUCAUCUCCAAAAAUAUCAUGAUUUAAUAAAUGUUCAUGAAUCUGAAAAUGGUUCAAAAAAUAGGGAAAAAGAAAGAAAGACAAGCGAAAAGAAAAUGAAAACCCAAAAAAAUUGAAAACCCGGUUUGGUAUGGUUCCUAAAACUGAGUUAGUUGUGCUGGCCGAAAUGUAUGCAGCCAGAAGCCAGGGGUGCACAUGCGGUCGCUAACCAGCGAGCCGCACGCCAAAUAGGAUCCCCGCUGGUCACUCGACCCCACGAGUAGGUGGAUCAAGGAACCAAGAAAGGAAGUACUCACUCCGUAAGGCGAAAAUGCAUAGGAGCUCUCGGGUGCUACGCCCCCCUAUAUUCAAAAAUAAUUUAGUAAUUCAAAAUAAGUCAAAAAAUCCCGGAACUUUUUAUGGAAUCAAACCUGACCAGGUAUUGCACUCGUAUAAAAAGAUUUAAACAGGAAAUGACUUUUAUUGUAUCCGGGGUCAAAGAUUUCCCAAAAAAUGCUAGAAACAAGUACUAUUCAUGCUAUAUUGUCAUCAUAAAUUUGUUUUUUUUUGCCCUGAAGACAACGAGAAUUAUUCCUUGGCCAAACAUUUUAUAUGAGUACAAUACCUAGUCAAAUUUGGUUCAAAAAUAUAUCCAAGAUUUUUUUUUGGCUUUUUUGAAUUAUUACAUUAUUUUUUAAUAUAGGGGGGUGGAGCACCCGAGUGCUCCUAAUCUGCUUCCCUCCGUAAGGCUCUUAUAUUAGUUUACAGAGGGAGUAGAAGCCACAGCCACAAAGCAAUGUCACAAAAAGGCUGUCUUUUGCCAGACUGAACCACACGCCAUCCGAGAAGAGAACCUUGAGUAAAAAACGUUCGCCAAGGAUGUAAAACACAUGGCUCCCAGCGGCAGAUGCGUGAACACUCUGCUUACAUAACAUGCUCGACGGAUGACCACAACGGGCAAGGCCAUGAUCCAUCCCGACUCCCGAGCCACCCAAACAGGUUCUAUGGCCAGCUUUGCAACACAAACAUUUCGUCUUCCGGGCUCAUUCGCAUCUCUGGGCUCUUGUGAUCUCCCACACAGGGAGGGCCUCGGCGUUCUCGGCGUACCCAUCGACCCGCUUGCUGGUGUUGGCGAUGGCGACCGUGAAGCUCUCGUUCUGGAGGGUGAAGAGAUACAUCGCCUGUUCGUCCUGGUCGUUUAUCAUCAGAAAGAAAAAACUUCAGUCAGAACGUAGUUAGUAAUAGUAGCUAGUAGCAGCAGCAACCUAACUGGCAGACACGAUAGCAAAUGAGACCACCAGGGCAAUGUUCCAAUAAUGGAAAUUAUGGUUUAUGCACAUGAUUUCAUGUUGAGACGUGAUUAACAAUACAUACUUUCGCUCAAGAAAUGAGGACACUAUUGCUGCCAUUUUAGAAAAAUCAGAAGCACUCAUGCAACCAUAAUUAAUUUAAGUAACUAUACGUGAAAUGCCACCAGUUAAUGUCCACCUUAGAAGUUGUCGGUAAAAUAUUCGAAAGGGAUGUUGAAAAGCACUACCUCAAAUAUUAGGUAUAUUAUAUGAGUGGUAUGGUAAGUUCACCAGUUAAUACCUCAGGGAGUUCCAUGUAUUCAUCAGGAGAUAUCUGAAGGAACUCUACAGCCGUUUGACCAACACACCAUGCAAAGACCUUCUCGCUGUCGUCUGCAAUGGUCAAGUGCAACUGAAAGCCAGGCGUGCAUCCAUUCUGGCAGGCCACUUUACACAAGGAACACUGAAGCCCAUCUGGCAGUUCAUCCACAACAUAACCACAGAGAUUGUGGAAUAACGACAACUUUAAACUGUCGCAAUCGAUGUGGUCAAGUCGAACACGGCAUAUCUGUACAAGAUGUCAAAUAAAUGCAGGCUGUCAGCACAAAGAAUUGACUGCAGUUGAAGAAUGCAGUAAGUUCUUAGAAACAUCAGUAAAAAAAAUGGUGGUAUCUGAUGACUGGUUUUAUUGUACUUUUACAGAUUUCAACCUAUGGUCAGUGGUUGUUUCCUGAAGUAUGUUCGUAUCUAAACUUGAAAUGCUUUAGAAGAGAUCUUGUAGCAGUAAUUGUCUAGUGGAAAAGAGUUACAUGUGUUCUGUUUGCUGAAUGGGGCAGAUCUGACAAGAGUGAUAUAUUAUGCAGGCAUGUUGAAUUCAACAACGCUGGCAGUAAGCUCAAGUUAACAAACAGUGAUCCUGGCUCCUUUUCGCUCCACGAGACUUCAAGGCUGUUGAUACAAAAAUAAGCCAUCAACCAGAACUUUGCACUCAUUGUGGCAAUAAAUACAACAUAGAGAUGCAUAUAGAUGAAAUAUAAAAGAACAUGCUGCUUACAUGUUUAUUUUAUUCAAACUACAAGUCAGACCAGAGAUAUACACCAUAUGACCAACUCCAACUCUACCUAAUGACCUGCAUAGGUAUUCAUACAAUAUAACGGUUUCAGAUGCAUGGCAGAACCAAUGAAAUCGACGUUGCAAACAAUAAUAGGUAAGAACAACAACAGAUAGUGGUACCAGUGUCCAGUAAAGAUAAGCUUCGUCAGAACAACUCCUGUUGCGUCUUCUAUCUCCAAAUAGAAUGUAGUGCCAGAUGUGCUUACUUUGCAAACACUUCUUACAGUGCCAAACAGACUAACUCCCACCAUUUUACCAUGAAGAUCACUUACAUACGCCUAAAAAUGAGGCAUGUCAUACAACUACCAGAAAAAAAAAAUACAUUGCAGGAACUUACACCACACGUGCAAAGGUACAAGAUAUAUCAUAAGUUGUAUCGAACUGUAUGAUGUAGGGAGUGAAGUGUGGAAUGGGGGAUCUGAAGUGUUCUUCACAGUUUCCCUUUAUUUACAGAAUCACAAAAUUAUCACCAAAAAGAUAGUGGAAAGUGUGAAACAUUGGUUAUUAUUUUCUCAAAGCAGGUUCUACCAAGGUGAAACAUUGGGUAUUAUUUUCUCAAAGCAGGUUCUACCAAGGGACCUCUACCAACGGUUAGGCACGAAGGAAGGUGAAAGGGACAUCUAUAAGAUGGCUAAGAUCCGGGAGAGGAAGACGAGGGAUAUUGGCCAAGUCAAAUGCAUCAAGGACGGAGCAGGCCAACUCUUGGUGAAGGACGAAGAGAUUAAGCAUAGAUGGCGGGAGUACUUCGACAAGCUGUUCAAUGGGGAGAAUGAGAGUUCUACCAUUGAACUGAAUGACUCCUUUGAUGAGACCAGCAUGCGUUUUGUGCGGCGCAUCCGGGAGUCUGAGGUGAAGGAGGCUUUAAAAAGGAUGAAAGGAGGCAAGGCGAUGGGCCCUGAUUGUAUCCCUAUUGAGGUGUGGAAAGGUCUCGGGGACAUAGCGAUAGUAUGGCUAACCAAGCUUUUCAACCUCAUUUUUCGGGCAAACAAGAUGCCAGAAGAAUGGAGACGGAGUAUAUUAGUACCAAUCUUCAAGAACAAGGGGGAUGUUCAGAGGUGUACUAAUUACCGUGGAAUUAAGCUGAUGAGCCAUACAAUGAAGCUAUGGGAGAGAGUCAUUGAGCACCGCUUAAGAAGAAUGACAAGCGUGACCAAAAAUCAGUUUGGUUUCAUGCCUGGGAGGUUGACCAUGGAAGCCAUUUUCUUGGUACGACAACUUAUGGAGAGAUAUAGGGAGCAUAAGAAGGACUUGCAUAUGGUGUUCAUUGACUUGGAGAAGGCCUAUGAUAAGAUACCGCGGAAUGUCAUGUGGUGGGCCUUGGAGAAACACAAAGUCCCAGCAAAGUACAUUACCCUCAUCAAGGACAUGUACAAUAAUGUUGUGACAAGUGUUCGAACAAGUGAUGUCGACACCGAUGACUUCCCGAUUAAGAUAGGACUGCAUCAGGGGUCAGCUUUGAGCCCUUAUCUUUUUGCAUUGGUGAUGGAUGAGGUCACAAGGGGUAUACAAGGAGAUAUCCCAUGGUGUAUGCUCUUUGCGGAUGAUGUGGUGCUAGUUGACGAUAGUCGGACGGGGGUAAAUAGGAAGUUAGAGUUAUGGAGACAAACCUUGGAAUCGAAAGGGUUUAGGCUUAGUAGAACUAAAACCGAGUACAUGAUGUGCGGUUUCAGUACUACUAGCUGUGAGGAGGAGGUUAGCCUUGAUGGCCAGGUGGUACCUCGGAAGGACACCUUUCGGUAUUUGGGGUCAAUGUUGCAGGAGGAUGGGGGUAUUGAUGAAGAUGUGAACCAUCGAAUCAAAGCCGGAUGGAUGAAGUGGCGCCAAGCUUCUGGCAUUCUCUGUGACAAGAGAGUGCCACAAAAGCUAAAAGGCAAGUUCUACAGGACGGCGGUUCGACCCGCAAUGUUGUAUGGCGCGGAGUGUUGGCCGACUAAAAGACGACAUGUUCAACAGUUAGGUGUGGCGGAGAUGCGUAUGUUGAGAUGGAUGUGUGGCCACACGAGGAAGGAUCGAGUCCGGAAUGAUGAUAUACGAGAUAGAGUUGGGGUAGCACCAAUUGAGGAGAAGCUUGUCCAACAUCGUUUGAGAUGGUUUGGGCAUAUUCAGCGCAGGCCUCCAGAAGCUCCAGUGCAUAGCGGACGGCUAAAGCGUGCGGAGAAUGUCAAGAGAGGGCGGGGUCGACCGAUUUUGACAUGGGAGGAGUCCGUUAAGAGAGACCUGAAGGAUUGGAGUAUCGACAAAGAGCUAGCUAUGGACAGGGGUGCGUGGAAGCUUGCUAUCCAUGUGCCAGAGCCAUGAGUUGGUUGCGAGAUCUUAUGGGUUUCACCUCUAGCCUACCCCAACUUGUUUGGGACUAAAGGCUUUGUUGUUGUUGUUGUAGGUUCUACCAAGGGAAUAUCAGAUUACUAGUUUGUGGUUCUACAUAAUGUUGCAUGUGUCCAUGGAUUGAAAGCAGAAGAUGCAAAUAAACAGAACUAACAGGAACUAAACAUAUUAUGACAUGUAACACCUUAUACAAUAUUAAAUUCUUUUGUUUUCAUUGCGGUAGACUCAACAUAUUAGGUUACAUAGUAAUAUUAGGAUUCACACUAUAACUCAAUACAAAUUAAAGCUUCAGCAGAAUCAGUGGUGAGAGAACUAAAUCAAGAAGUAAUCGGGUUGCAAGCAACACAAUGGCUGGCAAAAGUUAUCUUCUGAAAAGAAACAGAAACAAAUGAAGAUUAGGUUACAUACUCGAAACGGAUAUUUGCUGAAGUCAACUGCACCAUGCAAGUCCCGUGGUAAUGUUACUUGCGAAGCCAUAUUAUCGACUGGAACACAUGACAGACGAGGUCCUUGGCUCCUUACUUGAGUAGGCGUGAGGAAUACCUGUCACAUAGUCUCUAUGUCUUGGUCAACAGUACUGCAGAAAAAAGUAGCACCAAGAUAUUCCAACCAACCUGUUCCUCGUGUUGAGCAAUUGGCACCAAGUAAACCUGUGUUGCACUACCAUACUCAAGGCACAAUUCCUGAGGCUCCUCAUGAUUAUUGUGCGCAAAAUUGGAAAUAUAAGGACUGUCCAGUGCAAGCAUGCUCCCUACACUGAAAGACAAUGUUUAGCUUGCUAUAACUUGACUUAAACAGUUGUAACUUGUAUCGAGUGAAAUGAACCUGAAAAGAUUUGCAAGUGAAACCUGCUCUCCCCAUAAAAUAAAUUUGAUCUUCUCAUCAUCAUUAUCUACAAGCACAAUCUGCUUUCUUUCUGUACAUCCAAAAGGUUCCAAGGUCUCAAUCUUCUCAAUCCUGCAAGAAAGAAAGGGUGGGUUCUGAACCUUUCUCUAACAAAGUCGGCCUUUACAGUUCAUCCAAUUCAAUUUUAUUGCGAGUAGUAAAUUUCUUCCUUUUUAUUCUCACCACCAAAGGAGAGUCUUUUUUUAUACCACAGAGCAAACAUGUAUUGACAGAGUUCUAAUACCACUAAAUGAUGAAUUCCCCUAUACAUGGUCACCAGUAAAUCAAAUGGCUUCGAUGGUCUGAGUGAUUCUACAUAUAAUACUUAGAAGGAAACUUCAGCUGUUGAGUCCUGUUCAUGUCAAUAGUGGAGAGCUGAGCACAAAAGAGCUAGCGAGCAUUCAGAUUAAGUUCGGUGCUAUCUUCUACCCUCGCCUUUGAGUACAAGCAGAGCAUAUUUUACCAAGCCGAAUGCUAAACAAGCUUGUUUCUGCUAGAAUCUUACAUGUCCAGUAGUGUAAUAAAUAGGAAAAUAAUUACAAACAUUUGUAAAAGCUUCAAUCAAACCUGAUCAAGUCUACAAGAAACUAUACCAGCAAGCACUAUCUAAAGAGAUUGCUAAUCAGAAGUGAUAGAUAUCUUAUUUUACCUGGCAUAAAAUGAGUAUACAACAUCAUUUCUACUUUUCUCUUCCAUCAUGGAGGAGAAAGAAUAUGUGCAAAACUGUGCAGCAAGUAGCAUGGCAUCUUCAUCUUGCUCCUAUAUAAAGCAAAGGUAAGCUCCUAGUGAAGAAUGUGCAUGGAAGUUGAUCUCAUAAGUGAAGAUGGCAUGGUUUCACAUUAUAACAGCUUAGGCUUAACUAUUUUUCUAUACAGAAAUGAAAUAUCACAGUUGAUCUCAUAAGUGGAGAUGACAUAGUUUCACAUUAUGAUAAACUUUUUCUAAUUUCUAGUCAACUAUCAGGGUAUGACCGUAUGAAGAGUCAUUUGAGGGAUCAAAAUGAAAUAUCGCAGUUGAUCUCAUAAGUAGAGACGGCGUGGUUUCACAUUAUGAUAAACUUUUUCUGAUUUCUAGUCAACUACCAGGGUAUGAAGAGUCAUUCAAGGGAUCAAAAUACAAUUAAACAGCAGCAUAUAAUCUGACAAGUUCCUUAAUACAACCUAAAAGCUUUGGAUGGUCACCUCAUCAAGUAAUAUCACCAUGUAUUCUGUUGGCAAAAUACGAGCAUGGCAAGAUCCCUCAACAACAGCUGUGCGAAGACAACAUCCUGUGAGCACAACUUCUCGACCCUUCUUCAAGAUACAAUGUUGUCCUAUAUAGUUGUAGUACCUGGCAUGGAAGUUUGAGAGCCCGCAUAUAGAUGAAAGUCAGGCCAAUGAAAAAUCAAUCCUCGUCCAUUCUACAUUUCCUUUAUGCAUUUGUUACUGACUUUUACCAUGAUAUCAGUCUAACAAAAUGGAACAUCAACUAAGCAAUUAGUCAGACCUACCUUCGGUGUAGAUACAGAUCAAUAGUGGAUGUACUCCACAUGUCUCCCAAGGUAAGCAUGUAUAUAUUUGUACCUAUAAGAAAGACGCAAAAUUGAGGAGGUGCCAUCGAAAAUGCAGAUUAGAAUUCAUGUAACAAAAUGACCGUUCAAAUGGUAAAUGCUUUAAAAAUUAUGGCGUUUAAUCACGGAUAAUGUUGAAUGAAUGGAUAUCAUCAAUUAAUAAUGGAAGUUGUGAUAAAUGGGAGGGGGCUGCUUUUAUUCUUUUUCCGAAUGGUCACUAGGAGGGAGAUAUUGCCCACCUAGAUUUUCAUUGAGACAAGAACCAGAGUUUACAGCUUAUUAUAGACCUUGAUAGAAAGAAGAAAUAAAGGUAAUGGGGCCCAGAGGCAGGGCAAACCCGCCAAGCAUCGGCAUAGUGCCAAAGGCCAGGAGGGAUGUGGGCUCUCUAGAGGAUUGCGUUGUUUCUGCAGAUCACCCUUACGAGUGCCAUUGAUGGAGACAAGGGCAGGAACACCAACUCAUUUCAUGUGCUUCCAGAACUGCCAGCAGCCUGAAGGGGGUCCUGCUCUCAUAUUGGGCUUAUGUUCACUUACUGAGACAGUUCUAGAGAAGUACUAGGUUACUAGCCUGCCGUCCUCUUUAGCAAAGAUCUCUUUAAAGCUUAGAUGUUCUAAAGCCGAUCAAGGAAUUCCUAACACGCAUAUUUUGUUCACUGGAUGAAGGAGAUUACAAGGUGCUUAAGCAUACCAGGAAGAACGAAAACAUCGAUGACGACUGCCUCAAGGACGCUCUUGGGAGAAAGGAAGUUCUUCUCAUGGAUGGAAUCGAUUGUGACAGUCCUGGGAAGCCUCCUUCUCUUACUCCUCGUGUUUAGAAGGCUAGUCACCUCAACCUUCGUCUUUGCGGUAAGAGAUUUACGCUGCUCUGUCCAUGACUAUCAAAAGCAGCAAACGUUUAACCCUAUAAGGCGUCCAUACAUUUCAUGAAAACACAAAAGAAACCUCCAAUCCAAUUGGUAGAAGAAAUGAUGAUAAAACAGUAAAUACGAUGUAAGCACAUAGAUUUGCGACAGGUUCAUAUAUGCGGAACAGCCAACAAGCAGGACUCAUCAGUUGCCAAUACCAAACCCUUUUAAACCAGAACGGGGAAGCUACAGAAGUGAGCAACUCAAGGUACCAUAAACAGUAGCUGGUACUCAGCCGGCCACCACAUCAACACCAAGUAACUACUCCCUCCGUCCCGAAUUACUUGUCGCAGGUAUGGAUGUAUCUAGAUGUAUUUUAGUUCUAGAUACAUCCAUUUCUGCGACGAGUAAUUUGGAACGGAGGGAGUAUUAUGCAGUACAUCCUAACUGGUAACUAUAAGGUGGAUAGGGCACCGUUCGUUCCUAGCAUACGGAUGAUGAGUAUACGGCCAAUUAGAUCCACUUUUAGUACACAUAAUUUUAAUUUUGUGUAUGUCCUGCGUAGUUGAUUGUUAAUUACCAAUGCAUUGUCCAAAUCCUUCCAUGAACUGGUGUGCUUGCUUUCAAAUUGGAGCUAAUUGAACAACACAAUCCUAGAAAACAGCGCACACAAAACAUAGAUGAUAACUAGAGAAAGAGCCAUGUGCUAUUACUGGCUACUGAAGGCUGGGUAAAUGUACAGUGAACUUAACUGAGCGAUUCAACGGAGACACCGCCUAAUCAGUAGAACAUAUAGAAAUGGGGAGUGGUGGCGGCGAAUCUGACAGACCUGGAAGAGGUCGGAGAGGAGGAUGACGGCUGUGACGCCGCUGGAGUAGGCGCGGCAGGACUUGAGCACCUGCGCCACCGUCCACCCCCACGGAGGCCGCGCCGGCGCCGGCCCCGCGCCGGGGGACUCGCUGCCGUCGCCCCCGGACGAGGUGACGACGGAGAUGGCGUAGUCGAUGAACUCGAGGAAGGCGCCCCCGUCCGCGGAGGCGGAGGCGGUGACGGCGGCUGGCUCCAUGGAACCCUAGGCCGGGGAGAGGGGAGGGGAGGUGGGCGGGAAGGCUCCGGAGAUUGAAGACGAGCGCGGGGAUUUCCGCCUGUGUCCGUGACGGGUGGGGCCGGGUCGCAGCCCAGCACCAUUUUGGGCUAUCGGUGGCAUUUCCACUACUUUUUCAGUAAGAAAAUGACGUCAUAAAUUGUUAAGAGCUUCUCCUAAAUGAAUUUGGUUUUGAAUUUAAAAAUGUGCACAUUACUAGGACAACACCAACCCAACAUACUCCGUUUUUUCAUAAACUUCUUUCAAAAAUUACUCCCUCCGUGUAUAACACGUUUUAGGUCACUAGCCCCUCCGUAAACUAAUAUAACUACACGUUUUAGGUCACUACUCCCUCCUCCCUCCGUAAACUAAUAUAAGACCAUUUAGAUCACUAAAGUAGUGACCUAAAUGCUCUUAUACGUAUUAGUUUACAGAGGGAGUACUUAAUAUCAGACGUACAUAAAACGUCUUAUACAAUAUUAGUAGUUUACAAAGGUAGUAACAUAGUACUCCAGUCUCCAGUUUUAGAUUGGUUUUCACAAUAGCUAGGGUUUUGCCGGAAAUUUUCUCUCCAACUCCGUAGUUCAGAACUUCAAAUUCUAACUGGUUCGGCAGGUACAUCUCAAACACAUCAUCAAGUCCGCUGAUGGUGUUCCCCUCUUUUUCAAGAGGCUAGUGACGUUACCUGAACAUAUAUCAGUGACAGGCAUAAUUAAGGGCAUUUUUUUUUUGCAUUGCUCCCCAAUCUCCAGUUAGCUGCAACAACCAGAUGAGAUAACAAGAUUGUGAAGUAUAAUAAAAUCUCAUCAUGGGACAGUGGACAGAGAUAACAACAGAUUAUUGUAAGCUGCGAGAAUGAAUCAAUUUACGGUUACAACAUCCUUAACAAGGCUCCCUCAUCAACAUCUUUUCUAGGAGGGAAGGAAGAAGAGGUUCCCCCAUAAACUCUAGGCAAAUCUCCAGGCCUGAAGACUAUCAACAUUUAUCCGACAUCGAUACGAUACGAGGGGGGACCCGACAGCUUUGGGGAAAACUGGCAACUUAACAAGUAGUCAAAUUUUAUGUGCAAAAACCAAGAGAAAAGUAAGACGAGGAAAAGAAAACUGCUGCAGGCGGGCGAUUUCUGCACUGUUCACAGAGACUGGUUGUUGAAGAAGCCAUCUAUCUCACAGGCGAUUUCUGCUCACAGGAACUGAGCAUCCAUGGGUGAAGUGGUUCAUGAUCAGUGGUCUAAGGCGGAUCUGAUGGAAAGGGGCGGCACUUGCGCAUUUCCUUUGGCUAGCAGCUCAUGAUUUAUGAAUAGGACGAUGACAGUGAUGUCGUCGUGGAAAUGCCGGCGGACUUUCUUGUCGAUCCUCAUGAGGUCUGAGUACCGCAUCUCACGCUUCCGCGCUGCUUCUUGGAGUGCUGCUUUUAUGAGCCUUUUUGCGCUCCCCUGAACAAAGACAGAGUGUGCCAGUCAUGAUAGAGAAAAAUUAAUCCAAGCGGUUUUAACCAUUUACCUACAGCUGAGAAAUCAAAAUCACCCUUGCAGCUAUGCUGAGUGAGCCAACUUCGACUAGUUUGGUAAAACUACCAUGUCAAACUGUCAACAGUGUCCAACGAUUACUAUUUUUUUGCAACAAAGUAUACCCAAAAUUACUUGGUAGCUUCACCCAUGGCACACAUAUGCAUCCAGUUUAUGUCUGGAAAUAGCAAUAAAUGCAAGCUUGUGGGACAUCCAAUAUCCAGGGUAUCAGACACAAAUAUAUAUACAGCCAAGAAAACAAGUGGCUAAAGAGACCUCAGUCAAGGUACUACAGCAAGUAAUGAAUCCCCAAUGCUUGAAGAAUAGCACAAAAUUGCUGUUGCUUCCAUGUAGGCAGUGACAUUUUAUUAUUGGUAUGGUCCUUGUGGACCUACACUAAUACAGUAGAGAAUUUACAUAAUUACAAUAGCUAUCAUGACAUGAAUGAUUGUGCCAGCAAUACAGAAGGGAAUGAGCCAUAGGCACAGAUAACUUUUUUAUCUAUCUAAGUGGGUGCAAAACAUCAUAGGAGAUGCCUCAAACUUCCUAUGGUAAUAGGAUGGUUCUAACUCAAAGCAUUCAAGGGGAAACCCUUGACUUGGAAGUUUUGCCAGCUUGUGUAACUGUGAGAAUCCAAAACCACUGACGCGGUCACACACCAGAAAAUACUCCACGUCCAGCACGUUACCAUCACCAGGAAACAACAAUUAUUAGUUUCAUAGUGAGGACCCUGUCUGUACUUAACUUAACUAUUCAUGCUGGUGUCGACGAAACAUGAGAACAUCAUUUGGAUUUCUAGUACACAAAAUUCAGAUUAUAAAUUCUCCUUUGCUUAGGUAAAUGGAAGUAUGAGAAAGCAGAACGCCAUGAUACACAUUCAGUCUAAUGAACAUAAUUAAAGUCAUGGCAUUUCACAGUUGGUCGAUUUAAGAUCAAAGCUAAAAGAAAUAUAAAGAGGAAAAUGCUGUGUGGGAUCUUACAGCGCGUUGAUUGUUGUGAACAAUCUCUACGGCUUCCUGGUUAGUCAAGUGCUCCCACAAGCCAUCUGAGGCAAAUAUGACGAAACAGUCACUCGGUUCAAGGCUGUGCGAGACGAUCGUUGGUUCGGCACUCAUUAUAGGUCUGCUGAAUGGUUCAGAGACUCUGAACUUGGGUUUGAUCCGGUCCGUGUUAUACUUUGCGUCUUUCAGGUACGCAUCACCGAGUGACCGCGACACCUGCAUAACCAACCCACUACGUAAGCACCAACCAAACAUACAUAUAUAUAGGCUGCAAACGAAUUACGAAUACAGCGACGCAAAACCAAACCCCUUAAAAGAUUAAAACCAACCUGUAUGAUGCCCUUCACUCUCCAGACCCCAUGCUUGAGCGCGACGAUCUGCGGGUCAUCGGGGUGCUGGGCCAUGAGCUCCUGCCGGACGGCCUCGUCAUUGGCGUUGUGCUCGGCGGAGAGCUGCUCGGCGACGAUCUGGCCGGAGCGGCCCACCUUCUUCCCCAGGACGGCCCGGGAGUCCCCCAGGUUGGCGACGAAGAGGGUCUGCUCGUGCACGACGCCGACGAGGCAGCAGGAGCCGACGGUGGCGAGGUCCGGGUUGGUGUCCCACUGGCUGGAGACCUGCGCGAUGAAGGCCGCCUCCGUGGCCGCGAAGGCGUCCCUGAUGGCGUCCGCCGUGACGCCCCCCGGGCCGGACGCGGCCUCUGCACGCGCGCAGAUGAUUAGAUCAAACCUAGCUAGCUAGCUCUCGUCGCCGCAAUCCAUCCCAUCCAUUUCCCCAAACCAAUCCGUGCGCGCGCGCGCGCGUGCGGGUGGAAGAAUAUACUAGUACUGUGUAUAAUAGAUAGAAGAAGGGGGAGGAAGGAGGGGAGCGAAUGCGGAUGGGUACCUAGGAGGGUGGGGACGAGGUGGUCGCAGGCGAAGCGGGCGGCGGCGUGGCCGGCGUGGCCGUCGAGGACGGCGAGCACGGUGCCGAGGGGCGGGGCGGAGUGGAUGCGGCACUGGUCCUCGAGCGUCUGGUUGGCCUGGACGAGCGCGGCGGAGACGUCGCCCGCGGCGCAGCGCGCGAGGUCGCGCCACCAGAGCAGGCCGUCGCGGCCCUCAGAGGCGUCGGAGGAGGGGUCGGAGGGCGGCGGGGGCGCGGCGUGGGGCGGCGCGGGCGAGGUCUGCCAGGACCCGCCGCACGCCGAGAGGAACCUGAGGAGCCCGCCCAGCAUAGCACCGCCACAUCGCCGACCGGGCCGCCCCCGAUGCGCGCGGACGGCGGCGGCGGAGCAGCAAAUGCGAUGCGCGUGCGGGCGGUCGCAAUCGGCCGCGUACGAGAAGGGAGGGGAAAAGGCCGCCGGGUGGGGAAGGGAGGAGGGGGGGAGAGUGGGGAGGAGUGGUGGCGUGCGUCGGGUCGGGUCGGUUUGGUCUUUGGUGCGACGCGGUGCCUGCGCCUGCACGCGCUAGCUCGGUGGGGGGAGGGGAGGGGCGGAGUAAUUGGGCGGCCGUCGUUUUUCGGCGCCUUUUCGGUCCGGCCGGAUGGAGGCGCCAUCACGGUGGUGCGGUGCGGUCAGCGUGUUGGACUGUUGCGCGCGCCUGGUGCGUGCGGCGCGGGCGGGCGUGCACGGUGCCGUGUGUACCGGUCGAGGGCUCGUGGACUUACCGGGAAACGUUUCCUUCUGGAUCCGAUUUCGUGGAGCUUUCACCGCAUCAGAUUUGUCGCGUGGAGCCGCUUUGGUUUCAUCGCGGUAUGUGUGUUUCCGCAGUAGUAUAGUACUCCCUCCGUUCCUAAAUAAUUGUCUUUCUAGAGAUUUCAACAAGUGACUACAUACGGAGCAAAAUAAGUGAAUCUACACUCUAAAACAUAUCUACAUACAUCCGUAUGUUAUAGUUCAUUUGAGAUGGCUAGAAAGACAAUUAUUUGGAAACGGAGGGAGUAUAAUAUAAACCUUUUUUUUAGAAUGAAGCCAAUCUUAGGGUCGUCGCUCACGCAAAACACCGUUUUCUAGAAACUUUUUCGAGGAUUUGACUGAUCAAAUAAGAUGUCUUCACGAAUCUCCGCGUAAAAUCCAGCGACGACGUAGGAGUUAGCUAGAUGAGACGUGGUUAUCUCUCGUUUAGACGAGAGCUAGCCCCGCCCCGGCUUUCCACCAUAUAAUCACAGCUUUUGGGGUGUGGGUGUAUCUCAAACUUUUUCUUUAAACACGCUGCGAACAUAGACGCUCACAUGCACAUGCCAUGCUCGUCUGUACAAACACACGCAUGCUCCACCUUCUGUGAGCACCUUUUGAUAAUCGAUAGGGUGAACCGGCAUACCUUGAGAAUGACAAAGCCAUGAUAAGGAGCUAAUGCGUGUUGAGGUUCCAAACAAAGUAUGAAACUUUGUCAUGGCAUAUGAACGUGGAAUAUAAACAUCAAAUAGCACUAUCGAUUAUGUUGUCUACAAAUAAACUACAAAUAUAAGCAAAUAAUGUCAGGACAAUGUUCAUGUUUUUUUUCCACUUUUGUACAUACGUUUUUAACUUGUAUGUUUACCUUUCUCGGGAAUCAAUCAUUUCAAACUCCCCCUCCACAACAAGUAAAAACCAUAUUUACUUUAUGGUGUUGCUCGUGUUUAAAUAGUAAAAUAAUUGCACUAGCAACACAUCCAAAGUUAGGGUCAGGCACUCAAGUCGUCAUGCGUCUUUUUUAUAGGCGGUGCUACUUUUAUUACAACAAAAAACUAUGUAGCGUCGACUAUUUCAUAUCUCUUUGUAUCCAUACCUAAUAAGGAGUUUUUUUAAUUCAUACCCAAAAAGGAGUUAAUGCUUCCUGAAAACCUUACCCGCAAAAAGUGCUUCUUGAAAACCCAAACAAAGUAUAAAAUAUUUUCACGACAUGUGGACGUGAAAUAUAAACAUUAAAGAGCUCUCUCUGUUAUGUUGUUGAUAAAUAAAGUUUAAAUAAAUGAAUAAUGUCACGAUAAUACUCAUGUUUUUUUUACUUUUAUACAUACGCUUAUUUGGUUUCGACAAGGGGAGAAAAUAUAUAACAUAUUACUAGCAAUGUGCUCGUGCCUUGCAACGGAUUCAAAAAAUAAUAAUACAUGUUCACAAACUUGAAAGAAAAAUACUCUAGUUUGGUGUAUAUAUCACUAAAAAUAUACUCGUAUUAGGUUUCACUCAAAAUAUAUUCCUUGUGGCUGUUUUGAUGAGGUGCGGGAGGGAUGUGGUUAGUUCUAAUAUACUAAGGGAUUUUUGCAAAUUGGAGCAGAGAAGUGGGGUCUUGUUGCAAAAAGCCACGACUUACAUCAUAGUCGUUAGAUGCAUAUCUGAUGGUUAGAAAUGACGGAUGACAGACACACCGUCAUCACCAACUGAGUCUUCUAUAGCAGUAGAGAUGAUGAUAACUCCUAAAGAAAUUGUAAAAGGACGUCAAUCUCGGUGAACAUUGGACAUGUCACUUGUGAACGUCCGCGUGACAGUUUCAAAAACUGCCACCUAGAUGCAGAUCUGACGGUUCUGGGGCACUCGUCAGGAUUGGGCUCUUGGCGAACAUUUGCCAAAUAUCAUUACGGCUGUAAAAUGACGUUCUAUUAUGUCAACAAACACUUCUCCAGUACAUGCCCAAAACUUUCAUGCCAUGUGAAAUCCAUCUCGUAUUCUAAAGAAGAAUCCAUCUCUAAAAUGUCACGAGCAAAUUUUCCUCCAAAUUGUCCUAUUUGAAAAAAAAAAUCAAUUGCUCCAAACUCCCCCUCCACAAAAAAAAAUCCAAAAAAUAAAGAAUGAACUGGCCAUGACCGGUCACGCACGAAUCUCAAGGCCGUAUCGGCGGACAACAAAACCCCCUAGCCGCUUCGCACGCAGACCCGCUCUGCAGUCCCACCACACACGACAGCGAGAAGGGGAAUUUUUCUAGCUAGGGUUUUAGACAGCGCGGGUCGGAGAGAGGCGAUGGGUGCGGCGGUCGACGAGACGGCGGCGGCGGCCGCGGCGGCUGUGGCGGCGGAGGGCGGCCCCGCUGCCGCCGCGGCGGAGGCCGACUCCAAGGACCUGCAGCAGCAGAGCAAGGCCCUCGACAAGCUCACCGACCACGUCGAGGAUCGCCAGCUCGACUCCUCCCGCGUCCAAUCCGUAAGUCCUGCUCGACCCCCAACCUCGCGCUCCCGCGAGCGCGGAUUCACAUAUUCCGCCGCGUCGUUAGUGAGGAUUAGGUGUAGAUUCGUGAUACACUGGCCCGUUAGUGAGCAAUCGGAGCCACGAGCUGGAGGAUCUGGUCGACAUUGGUGGAGCCAUGGGUGCACUAUGAAUCGGUCUCGUGAAUUAGUUUUGUGCCACCCCCUCUGCUUUGCUUUGCAGGGAUGACAUGCUUCAGCUUAAUCCUCCAAACAUGACUAGCCUGUUCCUGGAUGCGUGUUUAUACCGGUGUUACUCCCUUUGUCGUUUCCAGUCAGAAUCAUUUCAACAAUUAUCAGAUUCCUGGCCCAUUAGUUAUUGGUUGAGCAUACUGUACGUUCCAUGUCUGUUGGGUGUAAAGUUCAAGCAGUGAACGCUUUUGUUAGAUACAGUAUCUGUAUUCAGUAAUGAAGACACUAUCUGUAUUCAGUAAUGACGACAUCAGACGGUGGCGUGCAGUACACACAACCUACAUUUGGUAGCAGCUCCUCAUAAUCUGUCCACCCACCAUAAAAUCUCUGUACUUCUGCUUGUGUGUCUCUUAUAGGAUAUAACAUUUUAUUAGAUGUGUUGCUAAUCAAUUGCAAGUUUUCACUGCUUAACUGCAAUAUUAUCCAGAGGUCCGGUGACCUGAGUAGAAUUUCCAUUAUUUCCAUGUCAUGUGAAUAGCUUGCAAGUUUGAAAGUGUGUUUUUCGGCACCCACCUUUUCUACAAUUCUGGAAAAUUAUUUAUUAAGUUAUCAGUAUGGCCUCUGAAAAGUGCCGCUUGGGCAGAUAUACAGUUCAACUUCGAGUCUGAUCAACAAGUGUUUUAAUCAAAUGAUUUUGAAGGGGCUAUAUAAAUGACUUUGAAAGAGACACCUACUAGCAGUUGAAUGAGCCCUUGGUAUAGUAACUCCGUGCUAAAACAUGGAUAUCAGGAAUGUAGAAGGUAGAUUCGUAGAGAAGUGUGUGUGUUUAAUUGAGAUGUUUUGGGGAGUACCUUGGUGAUGCUGAUAUAUCUUUCUUUCUUUUACAGGCCAUGGCAGCUCUUGCUUCAUCUAAAGAGGCUGACUGGAAUGCCAUGAGACUGAGGUUGGUGUGGAAAAUAUUCAUGGCUAUUAUUUUGCUCUCAAGAAACUUGCAAUACAUCAACGCACUGUUCUUUUUUUUUUUUUGCUGACUGUACAACUACCACCUCUUCAGUGAAUGACAGACGUUACUAGCAACUGCACAUGGAAAUUUUAAAUGUGAUGUUCAGUUUGAAUAACAGCUUUCCCUGCUACAAAUUUUAGCUUCUUUUAUAGAGUCCAUUAACAGAUCGGUUAGCAUUUUACAAAAAAGAGAACAAACCAGCGACACAGGCAGGUUGCAGUUUUGCUCAAUAUCCUGUCAUCACAUAGGUUUUCAACUUGAUGAAAGAAAAAGAAAACAAGUAAGGGUAAAUAAGUGAACGGGAAAGACAAGAAAAUCUAGCAUGAUGGCAGUGGAACUUAGAUCCUUUGUACUCCGUUCACAAAUAUAAUAUGUUUUGGAUAUUUCAGUAUGGACCACAUACGGACUGAAAUAAGUGAACAAACACAGUAAAACAUGUGUAUAUACAUCCGAUUCAGAAAAAAGUUUGAAAAUCUUAUAUUUGUGAACGGAGGGAGUACCUUGUAAUUUUUGCGCUCGAGUUUGCAAUAUCCCAUGAUCUAUUUUGUUGGGGAUUCCAUGUUUCUGGUUAAUGGUAUGUUUGGAUUAUUACCAAAGUGCACCUUACCAGUUUUUUUACCAUAACAAAAAUUGUUCUAUGUUUAGAUAGUUGCUAGCUGUUUGGCAUGCCAAUGCUCAUUUGCCAAUUCUAGUUAUUUUUUCUGGCCAAUCUUGACCAAUCCAUGGGUAUUGCACACCAAACUUUUUGGUAGGGCAACCUUGGGCAUAAACUAAACUCAACCAUAGUAUUUCCAUGACAUAUCAGCUCCAAUUUGAAACAAAGACAAUGGCCUUGGGAAGUACAUAGUAUCCUCAUUUUUAGAUAAAUGGGUUUGGCCUUCUUCUCCUGAAAAUGUUGUUCACAGCUCAUGAUUAGGGGUGUGCAGAGCGGCGCCUGAUCCGCUCCGCUUCAUAGUCAAAAUGGAUCACGUUAGUUAUAACUUCCCCACCCAGAUUGAGCUUAGAUUGAACUAACUCUCUACUUAUGCAGGAUAUGCGGGGACGCCCGCUUGCAUCCCACUCAUGGCAUUGUUAUAACAUAACGGGUGUUUCUUUUUGCUCUUUCACCAGGGAGAAAGAAUUAGCUGCUGUCAAGAUCAACCCUACCGACGUUGAAAUCAUUGCCAAUGAACUUGAGGUGGCAUCUGAAACCUUCGCUUGCAGCUAUUUUUUUCCCUAAUGCUCUAAAUAAUGUCCCUUCUAAAACAUUGUCUCUGAAUGUGCAGCUGGACAAGAAGAUCGCAGAGAGGACACUCCGAGAGCACAAGGGCGACGCUGUUGCCGCAGUCCGGUUCUUGCUUCGCUGAUUCCGACACAUGCCGCCUGCCUGCGUGCACGUGAUUUCAUUUGAUCUGUAAACCAUGCGAAUGGGGCUGUACUUUGUCUUCCUGUAUCACAGUGAAACUAUGGUUUCUGUCACUGAUGCAAAACUUAUAUUUCCAUGGUGCUGCAGACUGGUUUCUGUUCCCUUGGAAAAGAAGUUAGGAAGUUGAAAAGUAUAGGUCGAAUGGUGUUUUAUAUCCAUACGGUAGAUGUGCCUGUAUUUUUUUCAAAACGCCGUCCCUUGACAUCAUGCCUGUGAAAGCAAGGCAUACAGGACAAUGCGCACAUGCCGCCGAGGAGAAAAUGGCCGUCAAGGUUGCAGUCUGGCGUCAUGGUCAUCAUGCCUCCGCGAGGGCGAAUCUGACUCCAUAAUUCAUGUGCCCGUAUGAGUUGCUUGGUUUAUUUGGAGAUCCAGAUGCUAUCUUCCCGAGAACAAUGGUCAGUGAGUUUGGUACCAGGCGUGCCCCACACACACGGGAUGCAUGUUUCUCGUGGUCGUGCUUAUCACGCCGUUGCAGGGUAGCCUUGAGACUCUACCGCCGAUGCCGUCGGAGGUAGGCUGCCAUGCUUUGCUUUUGUCGACGUCGACGGAUCAAAUGGGCUACCACUGUUGACUAUGAUGGCAGCUCGUCUACUCUGUUGCCACGGUGUUCGGUGAUACUCCCUCCGUCCGGAAAUACUUGUCAUCAUAAUGGAUAAAAGAGGAUGUAUCUAGAUGUAUUUUAAUUUUAGAUACAUAUUUUUUUAUCCAUUUUGAUGACAAGUAUUUUCGGACGGAGGGAGUAGAUUAGAGGGGUUCAGUACUUCAGUCGUAAAAUAGUUUCAGUGCUAAACUUGUCACCGAAGAUCAAAACAGUGAUUUUGCCCUGACCAUAGAAUAGGACAGGGGUUUCAAAACUCAGGGGAUAAUAAUUUGUUGGGACUUUCAAGACCUCCAAAAAAAAAACUUUGCCCAUGCUUCUCUGGUGAAUGCUAUCGAUCUGAGCACCUUGCCCUUGUUGAAACUUGGUGGCCUGGUCUCUGACGUAAAAAAGGCGUAUAAUACAACAUAGUAAACAAAUAAAAAAACCUGAAAUUUUUAUACAUGAAAAUUGAGAGAAUCUUCUAUGUGCGUGCCAAAUUUCAAGGUGUUUGGAAAUUUUAGGAGCUCGUGUCAAAAAUAACAAAUUUGGCCCGUCAAAGAAACUUUCAAAAAGUGCACUGUGUGGACUGGUUUUUUUUUUUUGUGACGAGCUCAUCAAACGUCCAAACACUUUGAAAUUUUGCACGCACCUAGAAGAUUCUCUGAACUUUCAUGUGUAAAAAUUUCAGAUAUUUUUGAAUUUAUUGCUAUUUUUUUGAAUUUAUUGUUCAUCGGGAGUAGAUGAGCCUGGGCACCGUUUUGAAUUAUCGGUAUAAUAUGAACUUCUUCUGAAAAAACGUCCAUGUGUCUAGCUUCAUACAUUGCUCGCACCUAUAGAGAAGUUAAAUUCUAUUGAGCUACCAACAUAUGGUGCUUAGCACUUUUCUUGGUAACGAGCUUGAGGCGGCCUGUGAAACCUUCGUUUUUCCCCUAAGAGCAUCUCCAAUAGAAAAUUUAGAUGUAAAAACAGCUAACUUUUAAAUCCCCGAGGCCUAAAAACUCAUCUCCAACAGAUCAUAUAGAUGUAAAACAAUUUACAUCACCUCCUCUAAGUGAUGUAAAAUACAAAACUUGAAGAUGAAAAUUUGCAUCACCAACCGCCUGGUGAUGUAUAUAGCCCACCUCGUCGCCGCUGGUCCUGUUGCAUUUUGCCUCNNNNNNNNNNNNNNNNNNNNNNNNNNNNNNNNNNNNNNNNNNNNNNNNNNNNNNNNNNNNNNNNNNNNNNNNNNNNNNNNNNNNNNNNNNNNNNNNNNNNNNNNNNNNNNNNNNNNNNNNNNNNNNNNNNNNNNNNNNNNNNNNNNNNNNNNNNNNNNNNNNNNNNNNNNNNNNNNNNNNNNNNNNNNNNNNNNNNNNNNNNNNNNNNNNNNNNNNNNNNNNNNNNNNNNNNNNNNNNNNNNNNNNNNNNNNNNNNNNNNNNNNNNNNNNNNNNNNNNNNNNNNNCCCCAUAGCAACAUGCCGAGCGCUGCCGCCCCACCCCGCCUCAGUUGAAGCUCCCCCGCCGCCCGAUCCGAGUUUCACCUGCGUGUUUCGAGCUCUGCCGCCGCCCCGCCCCGCUCCUUGUCUCGAUUUGAAGCUCGGCCGCCUGAUUCAAGCUCCGCCGUCGGCGCCCGUCUCAGCUCGACGCUCAGCCGCCGCCAUGCUGCCGAAGAAAGUGUCGAAGAGCAAGACCGGCUUCUUAGGGGUGCGGAAGAAGCCGUCUGAGAACUUCGGUGUGGAGUUCCAGUGCGAUGGCUAUCGCUACUGGAUCGGCACGUUUGACUUCGUCAACAUGCCCGCGCGUGCGUACGAAAUCGCCAUGUGGCGUUUCUGACGGCCGAGGCGCGAGAUGAACUUUCCGGAGAUCGAGACUCAGGUAGACACGGAGCUAAUUGGGCCGGAGAAUCACAAUAUUUGGCGGAUGGACGAGAAUGAGGAGAAGAAGAACAAGAAGAAGCCAGUGAUUAUCGUUGCUCCCGGCAAUAGUGACGAGGCGGCAAAGGCGAGAUUCACGCGGGAGCAUCCGGAGUAUGUCCAGACCGAGCACGAGUUCUCUAGGAAGCGUGAGGCCGAGCAGCAAAAGAAGGCGGUGAGGAAGGAUGUGGAGGAGGCCGGCGCCUCGGCGGUGAUCCCCGUCUAGUCCGACUCGUCGGACUGGGAUGACUCGGAGGAGGACGAGUGCGACAACCCCAAGAAGAAGGUGUUCUGGGAGCAGUUCAAGAGCGACGGCGAGUAGGCUCGGAGUAGUAGUAGUUUGAUGCAUGUAGUAAUUUGAAGUAUGUUUAAUUAUGUUUAAUAACUAUGUUUGCUUCAAAUGAACUUGCUAUAUUUAAAGUUAUGUUUGGAAUAAUAUAGUAGUUGUACUAGUUUUACAUCUUCAAAUACAUCAUUUGGUGGAGUAGUAGUUUUACAUCACCAAAUAUACACAUCUCUUGAAGUUAGGACUUUUUAAAGAUGUAUAAAAAGAACUUUUUGUUGAUGUAAAUUAUACAUCACUUGCUUUUACAUCUUCUAAUGAAGAUGCUCUAAUGCUCCAAAUGCCCCUUCCGAAACAUACUCGCUUCGUCUCAAGUGUCAAAAAAAUGUCUUACACUUUGAGGCAAAGGGAGUAUUUGAAUGUGCAGUAGGACAAGAAGAUUGCAGAGAGGACCCUCGAGAACACAAGGCGACGAUGUUGCUGCAGUUCAGUUCUUGCUUCGCUGAUGAAUGAUGAUUGUGUUUGGUGUGUAAACAAUGCCGGGCGAAAGUCUUCCCUUCUAAUCUCAAGCUCAAGAGCUCCUGCUAUGAACAGUAAAAGUCUGAUUUUUUUACGACCAACACUGCUUAGUUUUCUAUGUGCAUGCAAAUUUCGUGAUGAAAUUACAUUCGUGGAGGUUUAGAAUUCUUUUCGCAAAAUCAGCAACUCAAAACGCUUUCAAAAAUAUUCUUUCUGGAGCAUUGAUUUUUCUUUUGACAGAGUAUUAGCAAUGUUAUUUUUUUCACAAAAUCAGCACUUUAGUAGUGAUCUAAACACUCUUAUAUUUCUUUACAGAGGGAGUAGAAUAUUCACCGAUGUUUGCUGGCAAAGAAAUCAUGUUUUUUAUUUUUUGUGUUACUGUUUGUUUCAAUUUAAUUGUUCACGAGGGUACAUGCAGAACUUAUAUUUCUACGAUGCUGCAAAGUGGUUUCAGUUCCCUUAAAAGUUGAAAAUUUUAGUCAGGAGGUCAUUGAUGUUUAUAUGCAAACAAUCCAUGUGCCUUCAUGAGAUGCUUGGUUCAUUUGGAGAUCCAGAUGAAAUUUUCGCGAGAGCAAUGACAGUGACGAUAAUCGAACCAGUUUGGGUUGCAGUAUUACUACUGAUUUUGCGAAAAGCAUUAUAAUACUCCUGUACAAAUACUACAAUUUGCAGUCAUUGAAGAAAUCAAUGAAAUUUUGUAGAAAAAAAAGGAGAAAAUAAGGAAAAGAAUGUUGAAUCAGAGCUGCCGAGGAGCAGGAUGGAGCUCAGCGGAGCGGUCGAGCUCGGCGAGCAUGGCCACCCGGUCCAUCUCGUACCCACACACGUCCAUGUCCCCGUCGCCGUCCCCCGACCAGUCCACCCUGCCCACCCGCAUCGUCUCCACGUCCACCGCGUACACCUGCGUCCUGCCGCCCCUGUUCCUCGCCGUGAAGAGCGCCACGCCGCUCUUCUCGCAGAACCACCUCAACCUCACCGCCUGCAGGCCCAUGAGCUCCGUGUUCAGCGUCCACCGCCACUCCUUCCUCCCCGACACGCCGCCGUUCCUCACCGCGUCGGCGUAGACGACCACGUAGGCGCGCACCGCGUCGGCCUUGCACUCCAGCACGCACAGCCUCCCGUCCGGCAUCAGCCCCAGCAGCCGGUCCACCUCGCUGCCGAGGGAGGCCUUGGCGCGGCGCGGCGGCGACUCGAAGGCCUGCACGGUGUAGCCAAAGCUGGACGUGUGCAGCGUGGCCGGGUUGACGGCGAUGCCGAGCCCGUACCAGCAGACGGCGCCGCCCCGCACCAGCGUCGCGUGCGCCCUGACGCCCAGCUGCCGCCCCCUCGCGAUCCGGGCGCCGGUCACCUCCACCUCCGGGCCCCAGCUGCCGUCCUCCGAGGAGUAGCGCCGGAGCGCCGUGUAGCUGCGGUGGUUGUAGAGGAGCAGCACGCGGUACGAGGACGAGGACGUGGACGUGGCCGCGCAUGCGUCGUACAGGUGGAGCCCGUCGUCGGCGGUGAGCAGGGCGCACGCGUACGGCCCCGGGCGGUCCUUGCCGGUCAGGGGCGGGAGCAGGUCGGCGUCGCCGGUCAUGGGGUCGCACACGCAGAGCCGCAGCACGCAGGCGCUCUUGGCGCGGCGGAGGUCCAUCACGACGCGGCCGUUGCGGGACGCGACGACGCGCGACGACGAGCCCGGCACGCCGCCGUCGGUGAUCGAGAGGUCGGGCUUCGUGAAGGGCACGAAGCCGUCGCCGUGCAGGAAGACGCCGACCGCGAGGCGGCGGGCGAAGCGGUCGCAGCGCGGGGGGCCGCGGCGGCAGAUGAAGGCGGCGUCGGAGGAGACGAGGCGGCGCCAGCGCCUGCAAGCGGCAGCGCAGCGGACGAGGUCCCCGGCGUCGGAGAGGGCGGAGAAGACGAGGAGCAGGGUCUCGUCGCACAGGGGCAGCGCCUGGUCGCCGUGCUCGGGCCCGUGCCGCUUGAACGGCCUGCGGCGGGCGGCGAGCCACCCUCUGCUCCCGCCUGCGGAGGGAUCCGUCCCUGCGGCGGUGGCCGGGCGUCGGCGGCGGCCGCAGCGGCGACGUGGCGGCCGUGACGGCGGCAUGAUGAUCGGCCGGUUGGGAUUUGGGGGAGAUCGAGCAAGGGUUUAGGGGGGCGUGUUUACAGAGGUAAUCGCCCAGAUCCGUAAAGGAAGAUCGCCAGAUUUUCCGUCUCAUGGGCCAGUUGGAUCUCCGUUUCACGUCAGAGAAAAAAAAGGACAAAGAAUCGAUGGGCCUGCCUGCCAAUGAUGAAGGCCCAUUGUGGCGUCCCAGCGGCCAGUGGCUGCUUGGUCCUCACUGGCCUAAAAAACACAAAAAAUGCCUCACUGCACUCAUCUCCAUCGCAAGUUCUCAACAACCUCCUCCUUCGCUCACAUUGCCAAAAUGCGUUUGAAAAUAAUAUUUUUGGAGCAUCGGUUUUGUUUUUUUGCCACAUUUUACACAAAUUUCAUCUGGCGAUGAAAUUUUGCAAGCUAUCAAAACAUUUGUCAAAGUUUCAUACAAAAAAAAUCAGAAUUUUCUAAAUUGUUAUCUUUUUAAUUUUAUUGUUCACCCAAGCUCACGUAAGCACGGGAUCAUAACAGCUGCAUAUGGAGAAAGAGGAAUACCAUCCCCUGAUUAUAGCAUGGUUAAUAGUAUAAUCAACUGCUAGUUAUAUGAUGUUGUAUCAUCACUUAUAGUCACUCAUACAACAAGUUUGGCUACAAGAGUAGUACUUCUUUUCACCUUCUUUCUAUCUCUUUCUUCAUAUGUAUUGUAUUUGCGUAGAAGUACGCAUAUAGUUAACUCUUGCAUGAGAACCAUUUCCGUCAUCUUCUAAUGUCUCUGUCCUUCAUAUAGGCAAAAAUGACCUAUAAGCGGGCUAUAAGCCCGACCUGUAAUUGCUUUGAUUAGAGUACAACUCUAACUCGUCAACUUAGGCACACCCCUUUUUCCCUAAAAAAAAGAAUAAGGAAAUUACCCUUCUCGAUCAUGUGCGAUGUUUUAUCCCUUCUUCCCCCAUGAUAAUUCUUACUAGCAUCCACGAAGUAAAUGGAUUUUAUCAAAAAAUUGAAGUAAAUGGAUUUUUAAAGAAGAGUAAUUAAGAUGUAGCAAAAAUUAUGCCUCGACUCGUCCAGAACAUGUUUCGAGAGUGUGUGCUAACCAAUCAACAGGACUUGGAAGCCGAUGUCCCCAUCGCAAAAAUUAUUUGAGAGCAUAAAGAAAGAAAUGUGCGCUGUUGGAUGAAUGAGCAACUAGUAUUCACUGAGGGCCAGAGGCCAGUACAUAUACAUGUGUGGCAAAGUGCAGAGAACCCCCUAUACAUUAGGGAUAUACAGACAAGAGACUAUACACAUCUAACACCCCCCCCCCCUCAAACUCAUAGUGGAUCAACAACACUGAGUUUGGAGAAAAGAAAGCUAUGUUGCGCUCGAGUUUGUGCCUUCGUGAAGAAGUCCGUCAAUUGUAACCCAGAGGGCACAUGAAGAGCAAGAAUCUAAUCUUGCACAGCAGCACGCACAAAGUGGGCAUCCACGCCGAUGUGCUUGGUGAGCUCAUGCUUCACCGGGCCACGCGCAAUACUGAUAACACCGGUACCGUCAGACAGUAAUGGAGUGGAAGUAGAAGCAGCCACACCAAAAUCCUCAAGUAACCAUCGUAACCAGAUCACCUCAGCCAUCAACAUAGCCAUUGCUCGCAACUCAGCCUCGGUGCUCGAGCGAGAAACUGCAGUCUGUUUCUUGAUCUUCCAGGCAAUAAGAGAGCCUCCAAGAAAGACACAGUAAGCAGACAGCGAGUGUCGAUCUGAGGGAUCACUAGCCCGAGUAGCAUCGGAGUAGGCCUGGAGCUCGAGAGAACUGGAGCGAGGGGAAAAGGCGAUGAGAGAUCGUGCCACGAAGAUAUCGUAGAACACGGAGGAGAUGACUAUAGUGGAUAGAGGUGGGGGCUGCAAGAAACUGACUCAGGAUGUGAACAGGAUGGGAUAUGUCAGGACGUGUAACAGCAAGAUAGACAAGGCUGCUAAUGAGGUGACGAUAGCGAGUGGGAUUAGGAAGAGGAUCACCAUCAGAGGCACGUAGCUGAAUGUUGAGGAGUCACAACAGUGCGCUCAUCACCGAGAGCGGCGCGGGCAAGAAGAUCCUGAAUAUAUUUUUCCUGAGAGAUGUAGAAGCCAUCAGAGGUCGAGGAGAUCUCAAUCCCAAGAAAAUAGCGAAGUAGACCAAGAUCGGACAUGAGAAACUGGUUGUGAAGGCGAGCCUUGACAAAGGCAAUAUAGUCAGAGUCGUCACCAGUGAUGAUCAUGUCAUCAACAUAGAGAAGGAGAAGAGUCUGACCACGAGAAGACGUGUGAACAAACAAUGUGGGAUCAUGGUCACUGGGCAAAAAGCCAGCGGCAGUCACCAUAGAGGCGAAGCUCUCAAACCAGGCGCGAGGGGCCUGUUUAAGACCAUAGAGGAAGCGGCGAAGGCGACAGACCAUGCCAUCAGGAGCAUAGUACCCCGGUGGUGGCUACAUAUACACCUCCCCACGUAACUCGCCAUUGAGAAAGGCGUUCUGGACAUCAAGUUGAGAGAUGGACCAAUUGCGAACAGAAGCCACAACAAGGAGAGUGCGGACAGUGGUCAUGUGAGCCACAGGAGCGAAUGUCUCAUCAUAAUCGCGUCCUUGCUCCUGCUGGAAACCACGGGCCACAAGACGAGCUUUGUAGCGCUCAAGAGAACCAUCGGAGCGAGUCUUAACUUUGUAGACCCACUUGCAAGUGAUGGGACGAACACCAGAAGGAGGAGAAACCAGAUCCCACGUGCCAUUGUGCUCAAGCGCCGCAAGCUCCUCGACCAUCACAAGCUACCAUUCAGGGUGAGUCAUGCCGGCCCGAUAGGUGGUGGGCUCAGCAAUGGCAGAAAGACCAUACCGGUCAGGAGAAUAGCGAUCAGGAGGAGGACAAGGCCUAACACGAAGGUUAUGGACCGACGUAGGCGUGAGAGGUGGUGCACCAAAAGUAGAGGCACAUCAGUAGGAUCAGCGCUAGCACGAGGACGACGAGUGUAGUAGUGAGGAAAAGGGGAGUGUGGGUGAAAGACUGGAGAGGAAGGUGGGGAGGGAGAUGAGGAGGAGGGAGGGGAUGGUGGUACCGGUGGUGUAGGGAGACUCCUCUGGGAGAGGGUAGAACAGAGGGCACAGAGGGAGAUGUGUCGGGAAGGAGAAGGAAGGAAAUAUCUUCCACGGAAAAGCUCGAGGAGGAGGGACGCGGAUAGUAAAAACGAGACUCAUCAAAAGUCACAUCACGCGAAAUGCGCAGUCGGCGACCAACAGGAUCCCAACAGCGAUAGCCCUUGUGCUCAUCACUAUAGCCAAGGAAAACACACUCAACUGGCUGAGCAGUCAACUUGGUUCGUUCUCGUGGAGCAAGAAGAACAUAGCACACGCACCCAAACAUACGAAGAGCGGAGUAGUCAGGAGAGCGAUCAGAGAGAUGCUCCAUAGGAAUACCACCCUUCAAGGCAACCGAUGGCUGAAUGUUGAUGAGGUGUGUGGAUGCGGAUACUGCCUCAGCCCAAAAAUGAGGUGGAAGAGAGGCGGCGAUCAUCAUUGCCCGAGCCGUCUCAAGCAAAUGGCGAUGUUUGCGUUCAGCAACGCCAUUCUGAGCAUGGGCACCAGGGCAAGAGAAUUGGGCAAGAGUGCCCUGCUCUGCAAGAAAACCACGCAACAUGUGAGAGAUAUACUCUCCAGAUGAGCCAGCACGGAAGAUACGGACAGACGUGGAAAAUUGAGUGCGAACAAUGGCAGCAAAACGCUUGUAUAUGGGGAGAACCUCGCUGCGAGAUUUCAUACAGUAAAGCCAAGUGUAGCGAGAGAAAUCAUCAAUAAAUAGAACAUAGUAGCGAUGACCCCCUUUCGAGUCAAAAGGAGCAGGACCCCAUACAACAGAAUGAACUAAGUCAAAAGGACGCUGAGAUACAGACUCACUGGUAGGAUAAGGUAACUGGGUCUGUUUGUCAAGCCUACAACCAUCACAAUGCAACGAAACAUCACCAGAGACAGACCCUAAGAUGCCUUGGUGUACUAAUGAGGAUAAGCGAGAGCCACAGAUGUGACCAAGUCGAUGAUGCCACUGCUGGAAGGACACAAAAGAGGAGGCAGCAAGAGCAUGGGAGCUGGCGUAUGUGGUAGCAGCGGAAGGAACACGAAGCCAGUCAACCUCCCAAAGGCCCUCAGACUCACGGCGCCGAGGGCCAGCGCCAACCAGAGCCUGAGUGCGACGAUCCUGAACAGAACAAGAGUCAGCAUCAAGAAUGACACGACAACCAGAAUCAGUAAGUUGGGCAGCGGAAAAGAGAUUCAUGGUAAGACGAGGAACAUGAGAAACACUAGGAACCGAGAAAGAUGGAGUGGAAAGGAUGCCAUGACUAGCAGCAGGAAGAGGUGUGCCAUCGGCCGUGAAAACAUUAAGAGGAAAACCAGGAGGACGAAGAGAAGAUAAAACAGAAGAAUCAGAAGACAUAUGAAAAGAAGCUCCAGAAUCCAGAACUCACGAGGAUGUACCUGUCUGAGUAGGCUCCAGCGGGGGCAGAGUGGUGGUGGCUGUCACGACGGCAACAGAACCCGUCAAGGAAGAACCGGAUGAUGCCAACAUGCGCUUGAGCCGCAGAAUAUCCUGGUCAGUAAGCGACGCAGUCGAGGAAGACGCACGAGUCCCACUAGAUGAAGAGCGCUUCAGGUCUCUCCGCUUCUUGUGACAAUCUGAUUCUGGGUGACCUGGCCUGUUGCAGUAGCCACAGAAGGUGUGCGAGCACGACCGACCCUCUCCUGAAGGAGGGUGAAACGCCCCCCUGGAGGUGUGGGCAGGAGCGGUGGAGUAGUGAGGUGAGCAGACAACACAAGAGCUUGGGCAGCAAGAACAGUGGGAACCACAAGCAGAUCAGCGGACCGAAGAUGUGUCUCCUCAGCACGAAGCUCGGCAAGCACCUCCGAAAUAGGAACACGACCACGAGCAAGCAGGUGAGCACGCCGAGGCUCAAACUUUGAGCGAAGGCGAGGUAGGAACUCGUGGAGACGAUGAAACUCCAAGUCUGACCGCACAGUCUGACAACAGCGGCAAGUACCACAAACCACAGUCUGGAGAGAGUCAAGCUGACGCCAGAUGGCAGAGCUCUGGGAGUAGAACUCAUCAAUAGAAGAGUCACCCUGCUGCAGAGCAUGCUCCUGACGCACCACAGAUAGGUAGAGAGCAUCACCAGAUGGCUGAUAUCGGUGACAAAGAUAGGUCCGCAUCGCAGCAACAGUACCAAGACCCAUGAACUCAGACGCAGACUGGGGUAAGACACUCGCAGUGAGAACCGGAGCCGCUCGAGCAUCAUCGUUGCACCACUGAGUGUAAGCAGACAGAUCAUCCCGGUAAACAGAAAGAGCAUCUGAGUAAGCGGAUACCUGCUGAUCAUAAGCAUCCAUCGCAACAUCAUCAAGGGCCUUGGCUGCAUCCCGAUCAGCCUGAGAAGCGUCGGCAGCAAGAACAGGCGGGACCGGUGGGAUAGGAGCCACAGGAGCAACAUGACAUGGCGGACAGGGGACCUCGCCAGAGAAAACGCCCCACAGGAGAAGACCGCGCAUGUGGAUGCACAUGAAACCCACAAACUCAGCAUAGUUGGUGUCAUCGAAGAUCACCGUGCACCGAGGGACAACCACAUAUCCCGAGGAAGACAUGGUGAGCCUUUUUUUGGUCAACUGCUACAGUGCGCCCGAUCUAGAUCAGGCAGACCCGCUCACGAGGGGAACGAAGCGGGGCUCGAGCAAAUCGAGCGGACAAGGUGGCCAAGCGACAGCUGAAGGCCACGACCAGGAGGAGAUCGCAGCUUGGGCUGCAGAUCCAGAUUGAGGGCCCAUCCAGGCGGGAAGCAGCACCAGGCAAGAGCGGCCGGGACACCGGGCGAGAGCUGCCGGGCUGGGGCGACGUCCAGGCAGAGGCGGGCGGUGGCCAGGUGCAGCAGCAGGGCGGCCAACCGGCAAAGCAGGAAGCAGGGGCGCCCGAUCGGGCGGAGUAGGACAAGGCCGCCUCGAGCGCCGACGGCUAGGGCGCAGCAGGAGCGGGCGCCGGAUCCAGCCGAUCCAGCCGGACGGAAGGAGUCGGGCUUGGCCAAGAGAGAGACGGCCGGUGACGUACGGGAAACAGCCGGAAUCGAGGUGAGCUAGGAGUGGCGCGCACGGAGUUGCAUCGUGCGGGAGAGCGAUGCUAACCUAACAUCUGAUACCAUGUUGGAUGAAUGAGCAACUAGUAUUCACUGAGGGUCAGAGGCCAGUACAUAUACAUGUGUGGCAAAGUGCAGAGAACCCCUUAUACAUUGAGGAUAUACAGACAAGAGACUAUACACAUCUAACAUGCGCUAACACAGGAAGAAGGAUAUAUCUGGUGCAGAAAGUAUCAGGGGCCACAAGAGCUUGAUGAAGAUUGUUGAUGGCGCGACAAAGACAAGUUAUGCAUAAACCUUGUAUAUUCUUUCUUUUUUGCGGGGUCAUAAAUCUUGGAUGUUCAAUCCAAUAAUUAAUUAGGGUACACUUAAGAGAUUUUAUAGAGUAGGGUGGGGGGGGGGGGGCAGUGGCCCCCUUUGGCCCAUGAAGCUCCGCCACUGCACCAAACCAUAUAUGCUCCCAAUUUGAAGAAAUUCAAAUUUGAACAUUCUGAAAAAAUCUAUAAAAAGUAUGGACGUUGGCAACACAUACGUAUACAAUCCCUAAAAAACUCAGAUCCAAAAUCUAAAUAUACGUUGAGGAAUAUAAAAGACAAAUCCAUCAUGGUUAGUGUAAAGCUAAGACACAAGCAAAAUGACAUAUUCAUACAUGAAUUUCUCCUUUUUGUUUCUUCAUGUGCGAAUUUUUGGGGGCUGUGCACGCUUGUCCUGUGAGCACACAUUCCCCUCCAAUGAAUUUUUAGAAACAAUUGUGUCGCGGCAUAUUUAGAGAUAUCUAGCUAUUGAAGACAAGGCUAAGUAAGAAUAACGAAUUGCACGUCAUUUUUUUUAUUGUCCUUUCUAAAUUACGUUACAGCCACAAGAUAGUCCUAUCAACAAUGACCCCGCGCAAAGAUGUUAAGUAAGACAUGCUCUAAGGACUGAUAUAAUUGGAUAUUUUUUUUCCAUGUCCGGUGAAACCAUGCAACGUACAACUAUGCAAAGGACAGGUUUUGGGUCUUCCCUGGCGGCGCCUCAACUGCUCCAAUGGGCAUAUAUAUGCCUAUAUAUGGUGCUUUGUUAAGUCCGUCGUCCGGUAGCACGACAUCGCUGACGCACCAAUUGAGGAAUCGAUGCAAAAAAAAAACAUUGAGGAACGGAAUAGGAAUAUGCGACGCGGUACUGUUUUGCCGGCCCUGAUCUUCCCUGUCGGUGCUGACUUUUGUCAUCUGUUCUUUGUAAAAAAUGUAACGCGGAUUAUCAGCCAAUUUCGCUACAGUUGUAGUAAGAUCUUAAAAGGCGUUUAACAUGAGCAGCAUUUCUCUGCCAUGUACUCUCUCCGUUCCCAAAAAUAUAAGUCUUUUUAAAGAUUUCAAUAAAUGACCACAUACUGUACAAAAUUAGUGAAUCUACAUUUUAAAAUAUGUCUAUAUACAUCCGUAUAUUGUAGUCCAUUUGAAUUGUCUAAAAAGACUUAUAUUUAGAAAGGGAGGCAGUACGUACUGUAGUAGCAAUGGCACUCAAAAAAUAGAUCAUAACAAACAAAACCUAGUAGCAAUGGCACUCCAAAAAUAGAUCAUAACAAACAAAACCGUCAAGCAUUUGAGCUUCACAUACAUAUAAGAGACUGAAAGCUUCAACCGCCAAACGAUACUGCUCAGGUACAGAGCAGCUAAUAGACAGUGGCCGGGGAAGAACACAAGGGGCUGGUGGAAAUCAUCAUAACAACAUGCAACAAGGAGCAAAGGAAAAUCAGCUCAAGAGAUUAUACAACCAUGGCUGGAACUCACAAACAUUACAACACGCACAAUUGCUAGCACAACAAUCAAAUACGUAUAUAUGUAAAUGAAAGCAAGAUCUUGCACAAAAGCAAACACAGCACAGUAAAAAUAACCACCGUGGGAUGCCAGAAAUAUAUCAUCUAAGUUUAACAUCUGUUACAUCACCACAACCAUCAUCAAAACCACAGUCUCAGUAGCACCACAUACAAACAACAAGAUAGUAAGGAAGACACAUAGGGAGAAAAAUACCGCGCCUCCCUUCACAGCAACAGCCAGCAGCAAAACAUGACCCAAAGUUUAGAGCUUGUCCUCGAAAUCGGAUAGGGGGGUCAUCUGCUCCUUGAGACCCUUCCUCUUGCGGAUCUCCGUCACGAGCGUCGCCGACUGGGUGCCGGGGUCCAAAGGAUCGGAGGCCAUGAUGUCCCAGUGGUCAAACACGCACUGGGGGAAGGCCUGGCCGGACGUCGCGGCCCUCAGGGUGCUCGAGAACCCGAAGGACUCGAUGACGGGCAGGUAGGCCUUGAUGUUGUAGAGUGGGGUACCUUGCCUCUGCAUCUCCUCGAACACGUGCCCUCUCUUCUGAUUCAGCACACCAUAGAUACCACCAAGUGCGUUCUCCGGGGCCUGGAUCUCAACCAGGUACACGGGCUCCAGCAGCCUUGGCUUGGCAGUGAGCUGAGAAGCGUAAAUGACCCUCCUCGCCGUUGGGAUGACCUGACCACCACCCCUGUGAAUAGCAUCAGUGUGGAGAACAACAUCACAGACCUCAUAGCAGAUGCCGCGCAUGUUCUCCUCACAUAGUGCUCCUUCUUUUGAUGCCCACUGGAACCCAGCCACAACAGAGUCCUUGAUUUCAUUCAGGUACUGCACUCCCUUACACAUGUCCACAACCAUGUUGGGGCCAGUCGUCUCAGGUCCAAAGCACCAAAUCUUCUUGGCGAGAUCCUUGUCCCAACCAAACUCCUCAGACAGGAUCUUGGAGCGCACCUUAGGAUCAUCACGCGGGCCAAUGCGGCCAUCAUCAAUAGCCUCAGCCAAUCCCUCCUCCAAUGGGCGAGCUUCCAUGUAAAGACGGUUAUGCUUGUUGGGGGACUUGCUCAUAACGGUACGGCAGGACUUCUCCAGAACAGUCUCACGGAAGGAGACGACAGGGGGGGAAACAAUGAUUUCAGCACCACCCAUGAAGUCAUCCUGCAGAUCCUUCAAGCAGAUUUCAAGAUGAAGCUCUCCGGCUCCAGCGAUGAUAUGCUCACCAGACUCUUCAAUGGUACAGAGAACCAUAGGAUCAGACUUGGCCAGACGCUUCAAACCCUCAACAAGCUUAGGAAGAUCAGAAGCCACCUUGCACUGAACAGCAACACGUACAACAGGGGACACAGAGAACUUCAUUGCCCUGAUUGGGCAGGCAUCAACUUCCUUCUCGUUUGUCAGGGUUGCAUUCUUGGUGAUGAACUGAUCCAAACCAACCAAAGCAACGGUGUUACCACAGGGAACAUCCUCAACAGACUCUUGCUUCUUUCCCAUCCAGAUAACAGUCCGCUGGACACUCUUCACAUAUAGAUCCUUCUUCUGGCCAGGAACAAAGUUGGGACCCAUGAUACGGACCUUCAUGCCAGUUGCGACCCUCCCGGCGAAAACACGUCCAAAGGCAAAGAAUCUACCCUUGUCAGAUGCUGGAAUCAUCUUGGAGACAUACAGCAUAAGAGGACCUUCAGGGUCACAGUUUCUGAUGGCAUUUGCAUAUAUGUCAUCAAGGGGGCCCUCGUACAAGUUCUCCACACGAUACCUCUGUGCCUUUGAAGGAGAGGGGAGGUGAAAUAUCAUCAUCUCAAGCAGAGCACGACUGGCAGGCAGCCAAGUUUGCAUCACACGCUUCAUGAGAGCCUUGCCCAUCAAGUCCUUCUCAUCAUUCUUCAUGGUCACACCAAGCUUCUUCAACAUAGGCCACAACUUAUCCUUCUGGUCAUUCAUGCAGGUUGCUAUGAUUUGCUUGAUUGGCUCAUAGCAGAACUGAACGAAACCUCUCUUGCAGGUAGCUGUCCCAGUGUUCUUGGAGGUCCAUUUCUUUGUGGCUGGGUCAAAGAAGUUCUCACCCCACAGCCUCUCCAUCAUCUUCACCUCAUCAACACCAAACUUGGAGGCAUACAUCUUAGCAAAGUUUGUAAGGGUGAAAGCCCACCCAUGCAAACCAGCAGAGAAUGCAACAGUACCCUUCUCUGGGUACACUUGGACAUCACCAAGGAGCACAUCUUCAUAUGUUGCCAUGAUGACAUUGGCAUUUUCGAUGACACGGGAGAAAGUCUGAUAUGCUUCCUCACCUUCAAACUGAAGCUCAAGGAAGCAUCUGUCCAUCUUGUUCACAGUAAGAACAGGCCUAAUCCUCUCACCAAGAGCUUGGCGCAGCACAGUUUCAGUCUGCACACAGACACCCUCAAUGCAGUCAACAACCACCAAAGCACCAUCAGUGAUACGAAGAGCAGCUGUGACUUCCGAAGAAAAGUCAACGUGGCCAGGUGAAUCAAUAAGGUUGAUCAGGUAUUCAUCUCCAUCCCUGUCGCCCUUGUACAUCUCAAGUGAUUCAGGAGUCAUCUGAUAGAAAAGAGAGAUACCCGUGGAUUUGAUUGUAAUACCACGCUCUGCCUCAUCUGCACGGGUAUCAGUCAUGCGAACAUCCCCAGCAACUUCCUGGGCGAUAAUCCCAGCAGCUGCCACAAGGGAAUCCGUAAGCGUAGACUUGCCUGCAAAUAUGUAAAUAAUAUGUGAGAACAAUGCACAAGCAUCUGGUUUGACAGUUGAACACAACCUAUAUGAAUAGAAAAUUGAACAUGUUAACUCAUACAGUAUAAGGCAGAAGUAGGACAGAGCAGUACAGUACUUUCAAACAAUCAAGAAACAAAAGAAGGUACAAAUAAGCUCAACAAGGUUUUUAGUAACAUGGUUAAGCAAAAUCUAGUGGGACAUUGCAAACAAAAUAUGAAGACAUCAAUAUUGAAGUAACUAAGUACAAUCAUGUAAAUUUAAGAUCCUAUGCAGUGUAAUACAUUCAGGGACAAUGUGAGAAUACACCAAACUGGGAGAUACUAGGCCUGGGAUAUUAUGUCAAUAGUACCAUUUAAGCUUGGUGAAGCAGAAAUCAAUCAUAUAAUAAGCAGUGGUGAAGCAGAAAUCAAUCAUAUAAUAAGCAGUAGUAGUAAACUCCAGGACACAAUAAGAUGGAUUGGUUUUAGGGAUGAAACUAAUUAUGGCCCACUUCUUAAAUUGACCCAUUUAAAUAGUCUCAGUAUUUCGAAUUAAAUAGAGUAAAAUUAAGAGCAGGCUACAAAAACAUUGGUUAACAAAGAUUCUACUGUAUGAACUCAAUAAUUAGAGACAACUGUCUGUUUAGGCACAUACCGUGGUCGACAUGAGCAAUAACAGACAUGUUACGAAUAUUAUUUUUCUUGUCCAUAAUUCCGCGGAGCUCCUCCGCUGUAAACUUCACCAUCUUGACUGGUUUUGGAUAUCACACUGGGAAUAUAGUUCCUGUUCAGAAUGGACCAAAAAUCAAGUAAUUAAAACCACAAUUGAAUAAUCAGAAGGCUCUUACUACAGUUGGGCACGCAUUAGUUUCAAGUGCAGUCAACCAAGCAUAUUAAAACUAACAUAUGGGAACCGAAGACCAAGUUCUGAAAACUUAAUUGUCCAAAGUGCACUAAAAAGGAAGCCAGAAAGCAACGAUGGCAACCAAUUUUGAGAGCACUCGACAUGACAGUGUGCGAAAGAAAGCACAAAACAGUAAGAAAGAUAAGAAAGAAAAGCAGUCUAUUAUGUAGAGUGUGCACAAGUAUGAAGCACAAUCAGGCAACGGAUAUCACUAGCUAAACCUGUAUAACUUAUGAGGAUCACAGAAAACUUCGCAGGAAUCAACCAUAUGUGAAUGGAAAAGAAGAGUAGGUCUGAAACAGAAUCGUGGUUUUAUGCAAAGUUGAUUUGUAACAGAAGGGUAGUUUUAUGCACACGUGCUGACUGUACUAGCAUGUACACUACCAGUGUAAACACUAGAAACAAUGGAAGCACAGAAGGUCAUAAUGUUGAGCUCUGAAAUAGGUGCGACCAACCAUGCAUGGGGAGCACUGAGAAGAAUACCAGAAGAUAGCCACAUAUGAUCAAUUUAACCAAAUGAAAGAGAUCAGGGAUAAAUUCACCCAUAAUACCUCAACUAUAAGUACAUAAAAACUGGCACACCCCGAUACAAGAGUCUCCCGUUCUUUCUUUUUUUUUGAAAUAAAUACAAGAGUCUCCCGUUCUAUAUACACAUAGUUAUAUUAAAUUAAGCAUGCCAAGCAAAGAUGUGCAUCACCAUUUCCUCCGCCCUGAACAUGAAGACAGAGAACAAAACCAACCAGGCUACGACAGGCAGGCAAGCAAGCGAGCAAAACCCUACAGCUUGAGCAUUCUAAGAACCCCGUGGACGAACAGCAGCGCAGAAAAAAAUCGCCGAAAAAGCUAGCAGAGCACCAGAUGAAACAGAUCGCCGUCUACCACGGCGGAGCGGGCAGAUCCACGGUAAACACGGCGGGAGGAACACCCUUAGCUACCACAGAAGCACAUCGGAGGCGACGAGCUUAUGUAUCUAGUGACGUCAGCGCAAAGUCGUCGCCAGGAACAAGCGAGCGGGACGAACCAAGCAGCAGAUCUAACGCAUCUAAGAGCAGCGAGACCGCAUAGGAAUAAUCCCGGCGACCACGAGCCCAGCAAAGGGGACCGGAGCGCAUCGAGCUAGCGAGGAGACUGAGCCGGUGAAAUCGGUCGGCUAGGUAGCAGCUAGCUGCCUAGCACGGGCGCGCCCGCCGACGGAGCAGCCGGAGGGCGGCGGAAGGGGAGAGGAGAGGGGAGGUCCGGCUCACCUUGCGGGUUCGCCGAGAGAUGAGAGGUGGGGAAGCGGCGGCGCUCCCGAUCCGUGAGAAUGGAAAGGGUUCAAGGAAGUGAGCACGCUAGGUCGCAUUUGCUGGCCGUUAUAUACGCUAUUUUUGUUGGUUCCGUGCGGGCCAAGAUGCGCGGGGAGUGGAACUUUCCAAGGCCGGCCACGCGAAAUGCGGCCCGCAAGUGAAGCCGGCCUGUCCGGCGUCCACUGUGGUGGAGUCCGGCCCAAAGGGGAUGAUGGCCAGGCGUGGUGAGAAUUUCGGAAGUUGUCGGAGCGAAAGCUCCGAAGCGCCAUCAAAUGGCGAGGAAGCUUUCGGAAAACCUCUAACCACCUAGGAGCCCAAUCUUCAAAAGUAACAAGUGUUGGGUUUGAUGAAAAAAUGUAUGUUGGGUCUUGCUCUCUCUAUCACCAAAGAAUCAACAGGUUUGGGCGCACAUUUUUCAGAAACCAUGCUCAGUUUAGACUUCAUUGAAAGAUGGGUUUAAAUAAAGCAACCACGAAGAUUUUGGAUGGAGUGGUAAUAUUUGAACCUUGAUGUGUGACACGAACACAUGGCAACUCCGAAUGUUUUUUAUGACAAAUGUAGUGACGCGGGGAUGGCAACUUCAUAAGUCAAGCAUGGCCACUUGCUUUUUGGAUGGUAAGUUUCGGUUUUUUCUGGGUUUCUUUUUUUCUUUCUAGAUGACAAUUUCAGCAGUUGUAAAAAACGUGAGGGCAAGAGUGCUUCGUGCCACAUGUGUGGCACUUAUUAUUUAGGUGACAUGUUGUUGGAAUCACGCUCAAACUAAGCUUCGUCCAAAGAUGGUCCAAAGAUGAGUGCGGCCAAUCAAAAUUAGUGUUAGCUCUACCACAUUAUAUCUUCCUUUUUAGUGGAGAAUUUGAUGGAGGAGCUGCAGCCCUAUUUCCCCGUAUUAUUUCUGUUAGCAAUUGAAGGUUUUGUCUUGUCUUUUGAAAAGUAUUGGAAUUUCAUAAAAGAAAAGAAAAAACAUCUAUGCAGCGGCCAAAACACCCUGACCAAGGCCAAUCAUCUCUUAUCGAUAUUUACGAACAUUGUGUCCAAAUUAGGAAACUAGACUAGGAUCACUUCAUGUAUACCUGUUUGGUUUGCAGCGUAAGGUUUUAACGCUUAUUCUUAGUAGUGCCACAACAUCUUAGGAAUGUGUUUGAUUUAUUGCCACACUUUUCUAGCUACAAGGUUCACAUGUCAUAGGCUCACUUUUUGCUUAAUCUUGCAACACUUAUAGUCACCAUUUUAUUAACCACAUUUUUUGUGACAGCCACACUUUGUCUAAGCUUAAUACUUCCUCCAUCACGGUUUAGAAGGCACAGUUAAAUUUGCGUACGUUUUCACAAUAAACAAGGUUUAGAGCGCAUUGCAUUUAUUUCUAGUAGCUAAUUACUACUCCGAUAUACUAUUUCUAUAUGCAUGCGUAGUGUGAAUGCUAUUUUUUAGCCCAUCCCACAACCAAUAGAUAACCACCUAGGUCCCAGAGAAUUUUCAAGCGCGUCUUCUAAACCAUGACGGAGGGAGUAGUGGUUAAGUUAGUCAUGAAAACAAGUCAUGAAACGGCAUCCUAUGUUUCAGCAAAAAAAACUAAAAGGUUGAAGCUUGCUUGCAAGUGUCAUAAUUACAUAGAGCCUAUGUGUAUAACUAUUAAGCACAUGUGCAUCCAGUAACAGUCAUAAGAAAUAUAGCAAACAAAUCUAUUAUAUGCCUAAAUUUACUGAACAACUUCACAACUCAAUUUUGCUACAAACCUGGAAUAAGAGAAGUUACUGAGCAUGAGAAUUAUGCGAAUAUUCUAUUAUGCCUACAAAGGUUCAAUCUGUAAUAUUCCAAAAACAUAAGUUCGGAUACUCUCAGCGUUAACAGAUGCUUCUACUACAGUAUUUCUCUUAGGUCCAAUUUUUUUCCGCUCAAACAGAUGUAUCUUAGCACACAGUAGGGAGCAAUUUCUCAUCAUCAGUGUGUCCACAAAAUUGUAGGGCAUGAAAUGGAGAAUUGUGUACUGUAUACAAACUGCAGCAUAAACAAGUGCAGUAAGUUUUUGAGCAUAGAUUACAACUGCCAAAAGAUGGAACACAUUUUGAUGGUCAUCAAAUCAGGAAGGUAAAAUGAGAUCGAAAAACUGCAAGCAGAGCUCUCAAGAUCAUGAAAAAUAUAGAGCAAGACUGGAGCAAUAAAGAACCAGGCAGAGCUCUCAAGAUCAACACAAAAGCAAACACAAGACGCCAACAAGAACUACCAAUGGAUAACAGAUACUUGUAUAAUCUAAGCUUUAACAUCGACAGACAUCAAAACGAAGUGCCAGUAUCACGACAGAUAUAUAAUCUAAGUUUUAACAUCGACAGACAUCAAAACAAAGUGCCAGUAUCACGACCGAUAGGAAUCCCAAUAGCAGUACAGCGACGACUCAAUAGACAGAUAAUAGUGCAGCUCUCUUAGCAGCAAAAGCAAACUAGACCAUGUAACAGAAGCAAAAGUUCAGAGCUUGUCCUCGAAAUCAGAUAGAGGGGUCAUCUGUUCCUUCAGGCCCUUGCGCUUGCGGAUCUCCGUGACAAGUGUGGCAGACUGGGAGCCGGCCUCCAAAGGAUCAGAAGACAUGAUGUCCCAAUGGUCGAACACACACUGGGGGAAAGCCUGGCCGGAUGUCGCCGCCCUGAGGGUACUUGAGAACCCGAACGACUCGAUGACCGGGAGGUAAGCCUUGAUGUUGUACAGCGGGGUACCAGGCCUCUGCAUCUCCUCAAACACAUGCCCUCUCUUCUGAUUCAGAACACCAUAGAUACCACCGAGUGCAUUCUCCGGGGCCUGGAUCUCAACCAGGUACACAGGCUCCAGCAGCCUUGGCUUAGCAGUGAGCUGAGAAGCGUAAAUGACCCUCCUGGCUGUUGGGAUGACCUGACCACCACCCCUGUGAAUAGCAUCAGUGUGCAGAACAACAUCACAGACCUCAAAGCAAAUGCCACGCAUGUUCUCCUCAGCCAGAGCACCUUCUUUCGAUGCCCACUGGAACCCUGCCACAACAGAGUCCUUGAUUUCAUUCAGAUACUGCACUCCCUUACACAUGUCCACAACCAUGUUGGGGCCAGUCGUCUCAGGUCCAAAGCACCAAAUCUUCUUGGCGAGAUCCUUGUCCCAACCAAACUCCUCAGACAGGAUCUUGGAGCGCACCUUAGGAUCAUCACGCGGGCCAAUGCGGCCAUCAUCAAUAGCCUCAGCCAAUCCCUCCUCCAAUGGGCGAGCUUCCAUGUAC
rnacentral:lncRNA from 1 species